rnacentral:lncRNA from 1 species
GAGAGAUUGUGGAGAGAGGUAUUUUCUGGAGGAGAUAUUUUUGAGGAGCUUUUGGGCUGGAUAGGCAAGUGAAGCUGAUGAGGGGAUUCUUUCAGAAAAGGUUUUGAGUUGGGCGUCUCCCAGAAAGGUGAUAAAAAUAGAGUUUGAAGUCAGGCGAGCUUUCAUUGGUGAGGAGGCUUUCCAGGUAUGGACUCUGCUCAUCAUCUUCUCCAUCUUGUUUUGGAUAUCAAUGAGCUUCCAUCUUGGUGUUUGAAUAUGUUUGCUAUGGAUUUCACUUGACUCAGCUUUGAAUUCUAACCUGUUUUUGUGUCCUUUGUUUUGAGAUCUCUUAUGAGAUGUUGGCAUUCCCACAUUUGUUUUUGUCUUAAAACUCAUUUGAAAAAUCGUUUUGACCCCCUCCUACAUCUGAGCUCAUUGAUUGAUAUGUGAAAUGAAGCUUGUAUGGAUUCAUUUGGUCCCCAUUGUUUGUGUUUUUCUUUGGUCAUCUUCCCCUGUUCCUGGUGCUCAUCCAUGACAUGCACCUGAUUCAUCGUCUCCACGUUAAGAAGAUAUAUGAGAGCUGUCAGUGGGUCAUUCUGGGUCUAUUCUACCUCAGUGUGCUCUUAUUGGUUGAGAAUCUCCAGUUUUUGGUUCGUUUAAUGGCAUCUGAAUGGCCGACAGUAUUAAUUGCAUCAUUGUGGUAUGGGAUGGCAAUGGAAAACUAAAAGCAGAGGAUGGUGUUUUCUUACGUUAUUUGAACUGUGUAAAGGAGCUUUUCCGGGGAAAAAUAAUCGUUAUGAAAUUUGUCAUUCAGAGCCAUGUGGGGAUUGCAACUUAAUGCCAAGCGGGAUUAGGCCACAUGCCAUGCUAGGGAUUGUGUACCAUGCUUGGUGCUUGUCAAUCAAAAAUGUCGUUGUGGGUCAAUAUCAAAAUACCAUGAAGCCACAACGGAGGAGAAAAUUACCUGUGAGAAGCUUUGUGAGUGGAAGGAGAACUAUGGAAGACACUGUUGUAGUGAAUGGUGUUGUGCUCUCUCUGAUUUUCUGGCAAUGUUCUCUCUGGCGAUUGGGAUCCGCAUUUAUGUGCAAUGACAUACAGAAAGAAACUAAAGUGUGAGCAGUCCUCUUGGGAAACUUUUUUGUCUUAGUGGCCAUUUCCUGGAAACAGUCUUUACUGAUUUAACCUGUGAACGUGGGAGGAUUUUAAUGGCUCCUUCAUUUCCUUAUGACAUCCCCACUCCAAAAUCCACCCAAAGCCUUCUGCCAGUCCACUCAUUGCCCAUUUCAUACCCAUUUCUAUUACUACCACUCUCUCUCUACACCACCAUGCACUAUGUCAUCACUCUCACUCACUCAAUAUGCCCCUUGCUGCAGCCGUUUUAUCAUUGAAUCCACUUUCCUUCACCACUUUCCAUUACCCUUUGUAUCAUUCUCUCAUCACCCGCUUGCCUUCGAUCUUGUCACGUACGUGGAGUCUCAUGCAUGCACGACUGUCUAUCAUACACUAUCUCAUCUUCCAUGCUUCUAUCUCAACCCCAUGCCAUCCUACCCAUAACCUCAUGCAUGACUGAACCCAUUCAUACCCCAUCACCCUCUGUUCGUUUCCUACAUCCUGCGUAACCUCCAAAAUCCACCCAAAGCCUUCAUCCCUAUUCCCAUGCAAAUACUUCACUAACCACUACCCUACUCUCUAAUGCCCAUCUGACUCAUUCUUUUCAUCACCACCCCACCUUCAUUAUUUCAUACCCAUACAUACCAUCAAUUCAUCCAAUACCCACCAUAUCCACCAUGUUCGUCUUUCCACAUCAUACACCUUCCAUACCCAUUCUCCCUAACUUUUAUACUAACAUAUGCCCAUCACCUACAUAUCCAUCUCCAUGCUCGCUCCUAUCUCUACACUGCCACCCGUACCCAUUAAGUCCACUUCUUGCAAUAUGGCAUGCACCUAGUCCCCCACUCACUUCUUAGUACUUUUCAUUUCCCAUUCUUCCCUAGACACAUGCAUGACCGUCCUUAGGUGUUUCACUUCCCGCACCUCAUCCCUUCAAACUCUCUGCCAGUGAACCCAUUUGUUCGGAAGAAGUGGGCGUGCUUAUGACCUGUGGAGACUGGAACUGAAGCAAAAAGUGCUUUGUUGCAUGACAAGGAGAAUGGGAAAUUCGAUCAAGAACCUGGAGUUACCGAGUCCACAAAAUUCGGUUCUCAUGGAGAUGAGCCUGUCAAAAGGAAGGGUCCAGUUCUAGAAGCAUUUGGUAAUGCAAAGACUGUCAAAAACAAUAAUUCAAGUCGGUUUGGUAAGUUUGUGGAGAUUCAAUUUGAUCAAAGGGGAAGGAUUUCAGGAGCAUCUAUCAGGACUUAUUUGCUGGAAACAAAGCUAUUUUUGCUUGAAGGAUGAGAAUUUCAUUGGCUAGGGUACUCUUUGUGCAACCAAAUAUUCCAUUGCUUGAUGAACCCACCAACCAUCUUGACAUGAGGGCUACUCUCUGGUUAGAAGAGUACUUGUGUAGGUGGAAGAAAAUUCUUCUUGUCGUCUCACAUGAUCGGGAUUUUCUUAACAGGAAGCAGAUGUUGCCAUAUCUUGUUGCACACGCACCCAACUGCAAUAGUGCAGUCCAUAAUAAUGCAAGUGGUAGGCCAUCAGCUAAGGAUAGUGCCCAGGUUGAUUUGUCUUCACUGUCAGUUAACUUCUCCCUGAAUUCAAGGUGACAAUCCCAGCUAACACCAUACAAGCUGAAGUGCGCUAAAGUCAACUUGCUCAGAGGAGACUCUUACACAGGAAUAUGUUCAGCACGGAUACAGGGUGAUUGAUGUGGAACUAAGGGAUGCUUAUUUCAGUUAUCCAACAAAGACAGAAUAACUACUUACAUGUAAUGAGGAGAUGAGGUGACUUAGUAUCCUGCAACUGUUCAUUCUAGUGAUAGAAAGACAGCUUGUUCUUCAUUGAGGUCAAUAUUGACGUCUUGUUGACUCCGAAGGAAAUGUGGUGAUAGGUAGCACGAUGAAGCAUGGUGUAAAAGAAUAAGACUCCCACGUGGUACAGGUAGCUUUAAUGUUGAAGUUCGAACUCCCGUAGACGGCUGAAGGCUGUUUCAAUGCAUAGUUUCCAAUUGAGGCCAUUGCAAAUGCUGUAGUUACAGCUAUACCCAAUCCAGAGGGUGUAAGUGGUGCUGCAAGCAAUUCAAUUCAAGAAUCCACUCACAGAAAAUUUGUUAAGGCACCCCUCAUGUACUUUCAGAAUCCUCAUCCUCAUACAGUGUUAUUCUACACACUAUCACUGUUUUCUGAAACCUUAUAGCAGUUACCAUUUGGUUCAGUGAUAAGUGCAAAUCCCUCCUAAGCGUGAUAUGAGAGGUCACGAGCAGUACCUCGGUACCAUAUUCAGCAGUCCAUCUGACCAAAAUUGUAGUAAAAGCUCUUCAAUGCCUCCAGAAACCCAUGGAAAUCUUGCUACAUAUCACCAGUAGCUCAUCAUUCAAACUGUCUGCAUAGAUCCAUUGAACUCCCCAGAGAUUUGGGAUGCUAAGUGAGCCGAAGAUCAAGUCUACAUGGCUGAGAUGUUGAUGCAAAGGAAGGAUGGUCGCCACAGUUUUCCAGCAACAUUUGCAGCAGAUCGAGUUAUUCAUGUGUUCAUGUUUGAGAAAGGGUGUUAGGGACAUACAGGAAAUUACGAGAGAUCCUCUUCAUAGGCAGAGAUGGAAUAAUAUGCAGUCAGUGCUCCAGGUGCCCCAAGUUUAUGCUUCUAGUCUGCAUGGCUUUCUUAGUCACUCCUAUGCCACGUGUCACCUCCCAUUCCAUCACUCUUUUGGCUUAGAAAAUAAUUUUCUGAUUCCUUUCUUGCAAAUAAAUUUUUAAACAUCGGUUUUCAAAUAAUUUCAAUAUUUUCCAUAUUUCAUCCUUAGGUUUUCUUUAGGUUCCAACAUUUUGUUUUUAAUAAAAUUUGCUGCCAUCUUUCUUCGGCGUGCAACUUUCAUAACUUCUCUGAUUUUAAAAUGUUUUAAAAUAAGUGUGAAUUUAUUUUUCGUAAUUCUUGGUGAUAGAAUUUACGAAAUUAAUUCAUACAAAAAUAAAUGGGCUUUGGUGGGGGCCCAACAUCAAAUAAAUUUUCUUUAAAAUAAAAUUGAGUGAAAUGACACAUGUGCUAUUGAUGAUUUCAUAUUUAGUUUAGUGACAUGUAUGCUAUAUCUUGUGAUCAUUGUUUUGUACUAAUCUCAUUUUCAUGAUAGCGCGUUGUUGUUUGCUGCUAAGGUACACAUUUUCUCUCACUUUGUCCAUCUCUCAUGCUUGCUUCGAUUCUCAGUGUGUAAUCAUGUUGAUAUUCAUUGAUUUUCCUAUUGAUUGUCAUGUCAGCUUCAUCUCAUUAGUAGAGACCCGACUUUAGGGACUUAGAGGGGUGCUACGGUCUUUACCGUACCUUCCCGAUAAGUAACCUGACCCCCGAACUCGAUCCGGUUUUUCGUAGAUCACCUUUUCCAAAUAAGGAGUCACACUUAGGGUUUUUCUUUCUUAUUUUGUUUACCCUUUUAAAAAUAAAACAAAAAUAAGUGGCGACUCCAAGUCAUUUUCAAAUAAUCAAUAAAAAUCAAUUUUUCAAAAUAAAAAUCGAGUUUCGCCAUCGAGUGGGAAACGCAUUCGAGCGAUUCGAAAAUGCGGGGUCCACAAAAUGGCGACUCCACUGGGGGUCAUUAGAGGGUCAAGCUUGAACUUAAGAUGAAGCAAAUGUGGUGUUUGAUGAGUUUAUCAGUGGGUACUCACUUAUUGAUUGCACAUUGAGAGUUCCCGAGUUUUCACUUGGGACAUUGACAUGAUUGAUUGUAUUGGUCGAUUAUCUUGAUUGGAGAUUCUGAGAUAGCUAUUUUCUUUGUGCUUCAUUGAUAUAUUUGUUUGAGAUAUUUGACAUGCUAAUUAUGAUGAUUGAUUCGUAUUGAUAGAGGAUUCCGAGAUAGCUAUUUUCUCUGUGCUUCAUUGAUAUAUUCAUUUGAGAUUUUGACAUGCUGAUUAUAUUGAUUGAUCAUUUCGUAUUGCUUAGCGCAUUGAUCCUGAUUUUUCCAUGAUUAUUCUGAUCACUUCACAUGCAUACACUCACCACUGUACAUCACUCAGCUUGCUGUGUUGUUUCUCUGGCUUGCAUAUUAUCUUGAUCGUCUUUUGAGCAUGAUGUUCAUAUCGCUAUUCAUCCUGAUAGUUGUAACUUUUUGUGUGGACAUGAGUGAUAUAUCCUGUACUCUGCUUGACUGUAUGAUGCAUGACUGCCCUCCCUCUGUAUGAUUGCAUGUUGCCUGUCUAUGUGGGUCACACUUCUAUCCCCUUACCUCCAACUCUCUUGGUUUCGGUCAUUCCUUUCAUCCCGGUUCUCACUAUUGCAAGUGUGAGACCUUCUAUGUGUUUGCUCUCUGACCGAGCCAGAGAUUAGGAGUAGGGUCUAACGACGGGCUAUAUCGAUGCACGGGAGCAUUCUGGAGAAGAGCGACACUGAUGUCGAUUGGAGUACGAUCAUUGAAGACCUGUAUAGCCCGAAGCUAGGUUUCAUGGAUAUUUGUGUAGCCAGUGUGUUUCCUCUUCUGUUUUAGCUUCCUAGGGUUUUCGGAUGCACCCACACCAUCACUGUGCACUCUAGUUGACUAUUGAGCAUUGAGAGUUUGAGAGGUUUCACCAUAGGAAACCCCCUGGGAUGUCGAGGUAGUGCAUGUGUGGAGGUGAUGACCACCUUGCAUGGAAGCGCCUCGUCUCUUCGAAGACGUGCAGAGGGUUGCGUACCGCCGGAGGGUAUGAUCGCUUCUGCCAGGGAUAUUUUAAAGUCCACCCUUAUUCAUUUAGAGCCACCUUGACCUUGUAGGUUGAGCCGUAGAUCCUUCGAUUAGGAUUCCCUCCCUACACGUGGGUGCAUCUGAGGGCUUCCAGAGCCUCUGUGGUUACAGUUUGGAUCCAGUAUUCCCUCUUUUUAGUCUCCAGUUGAGAGUGCUCGGAGAUCGGUAUGAGUUUGAGUACGGUUGGGUCACCUUUCGUCUUGCCGCCUUAGUUUGUGUUUUUCAUUUGAUGAGUUUAACAUGUUUUCUCCUUAGGGCUUUCGUUCUCAUUUCUUGGCUCGACACACCUUUUCACUUUGUUUUCACUCACUCGAUACUUUGGGAUAUGUUCAUUGAUCAUCUUUUUACACUAUAUACCUAUCAUGGGCUCAGUACCAUAUUCUUUGUUUGAUCCUUGGUUCGAUUUUCGAUUCGAUGCUCAUAUUUUCAUUACAGAAAGGUGAAAGGCAUAUUUUCAUAUUCACACAUUUUUCGAGAGAUUCGCCUUGAUCACCUUAUCAUUUUGUCUCUUAUGGAGCUCGAGUUGAAGGUUGAAUCAAGGAUAUUUUUGGUCUAGACUGAGUAUUGAUCUCGUGAUAGUGUUGUUCUUCACACCCCAUUCAUUUUCUUCACACCUCGAUCAUUUUUUGGAUCAUCGAUAGAAAUUCUUUAGUCAUAUUUGUAGUUGUCUCACAUUGGACACUCAUGUGACUCUAGAGAUUCUAUCGUCUAUCCAAAUUUUGAUUGUCACCAUAUGAUUGUGUGUCGCACCCUGUCAUAUAUUGGGUUGUAGUGUAUCCCAUGCAUUGGUCAUUGUUCGUUGCAUCUUGUGUCGUUGCAUGAGUCGUGUUUGAGUCGUUGUGUUUAGAUUCUUUUGUAGGGGUUAUUUGUAGUCCCAGUCUUGGUUCAGUGCCCUGGAUUGAGUGAGAGAGAUGUUGAUUCGUAUCGUUGAGCUGCUAUAGACAGAUUCACAGUCAGUUUCGAUUGGUUAGGUUAUUGCUUCUGUGGUUUCGAUUCAGAAGGCAUUGGCCAGUUUGAGUUAGAGGAUGGAUAGUCAGCCGAGUAGGCAUGUAGUGCUCGAGGACACGCCAUCUGAUUUAGUGACACCACCUGUUAUACCCGUUCAGAUGCCAGCUACACAGACUUUGCAUACUAUUUCACAUGAUCGGGCUGCUAUCGUUCCACCUAUUGUCACACCAGUUACCAUUGUUGGGGAUCCUCAUUCUCGUAUGGACAGACUCGAGCGGAGGAUUAGAUGGAUGAGAGAUCUUGAUGAGAUGAUUUCAUGGGAUGACCCUGGCAAUGUGCCAGUGGCCACUUUGCCAGUCGGUUUCAGGAUGCCUGAUAUAGAGAGAUAUACGGGUGUUGGAUGUCCUCGUAUUCAUCUCAGACUUUAUAGCACAGUUAUGAGGGCUCUUGGUCUAGAUGAGGCACAGUUGCUCACUUUGUUUCCAUUGUCAUUGAGCGGCAUGACACAGAGAUGGUACGCUUCAUUAGAGUCAUCUCGUCGGAGAACUUGGGAGGACUUAGCACAGGAGUUUCUGAGACAGUAUUCCUUCAGUGGUGAUACGAGCGUUACACGUAGAGAGCUUGAGUUUCUUAGACAGGGAUCAGAUGAGCCUGUUUUUUCUUUUAUCUCCCGCUGGAGGGAGAAGGCCGCAGAAAUGAUUGAGUGACCUACCGAGAGAGAUCAGAUGGGCAUGUUUUUGAGGAGCUUGCAUCCUAGGUUUGCUCGGCAUCUGACAGGAGUCCCAUUCCAGGAUUUCAGAUCAUUGGUUCAGGCUUUGCUUGAUGUAGACGAUGGCCUAUCUAGAGGAUUAUGGUCAGAUAUUAUUCCUUCUCCGGAUACUGAGGGGAAGGGAGUUGGUGGAUCAUCUGAGAGCUAUGGAGACGUAUGUUCUGUGGACUUUCAGCAUCGACGGCCUGGUUAUCAUCCCUAUGCGAGAUCAUUGCAGAUAUCCAGGAGUGAUUUCCCACCUUUACAGCAUCGUCAUCCUCAUCCAGUUUAGCUGUACCCUUCUACGCAUCCUCAUGCUGUCACGGUGCGACCUUCAUUUCAGUUUCAGCGUCCAUAGACUGGCAUCCCACGGCAUGAGCAGUCUCGUCCCCAUCGGCGACGUCAAAGGACUUAUUCUGAUUUGGGGAUGCCUUUGGAUAGAGCUUUUGAGCGAUUCCGAUCUAUUGGUGUUUUAGUACCAUUGGCCCCUAGGCCACUCCCGAGUACCUUGCCUCCGCGUUUUCAUGCUCAUGAGUUCUGUGCAUUUCACCAGAUGGCAGGCUACCGUACUGAUUAUUGUGCUUCUUUACGUCACACCAUACAGGAUCUUAUUGACAGUGGCGCAGUUAGCUUUCCCAUAUCGACCACAGAUACUGAUCUUGGUCUAGAUAUGUCUACUGAUUCCUUUCCAGCUUAGUCCACACUAUGUUUGGUUUUUGAAAAGUAUCAAGAAAGAAAAAUUGUUAAGAAAAGUGGUUUUCUCAUAUUUGGAUUUGUCCUGAAAAAUGCAAAAGAAAAAUUAAAUAUAAUUAAAAUUAGUUAAAAAUCUAUACAUUUUAAAAUUAUUUUAUUUUUAUAUAAUGAAGGAAAAUAAGUGAAAUGAAUUUGAAGAAGUAUAUAAAAAUAAUUUAUUGACUUUGUUUAUAUUUUUUAUUUUCUUCCAAUUUUCCUUUCUAUUUUUAUUUUUUCACAUUUUCCAAGGGUUCUUGUUAUAAAAUGAUUAAAAUUGUUGAAAUUUUCUAAUGAUUUUUCUUUCUUUUUAGAUUUCCUUAAAAUAUUUUUGACAAUUUUUUUAUAUAUAUAUUUUUUAAAAAAUGUUCUUAAUACUAUAAUUGUUUAAUUUGAUACAUUCUCGAAAUUAAUAUUUGAAACUAUUUAUUAUGUUAAUAAUAAUAAUAACAGUAAUAAUAAAUAACAUUAAUUACCAUAACUAUAAUGUAAUAUUUUUCUCCUUGGCCCGUAAGAAGUGUUUGACUCCGCUUUAAUUUGAUUUUAUCUUUAAAUUCAUCAUGCUUAAUACAUGAAAAAAAAAAAAGUAGAUAAAGUAAAUAUGAAGAAAAAAAAAAGGAUCAACUUGUUAUUAUAAUAAUAAAUAAAAUAUUAGAUUAAUAUAUUUAAAAAUUAAUUUCUUUCAUCUAUAUAAUUAUAAUUCAUAUUUAAUGCAAGUUUUGUCUUCUUUUUUUCCUAUAAUAUCAUUUUUUCCAUCUCUAUAUAUAUUAUUUUAUAAUUUUUUUAAAUGUAUUUAAUUAUUAACUAUUUGAGUGAUGUUAUAACCAAAGUUUAUAUAUUUUUUUAAAAGAGGUAAUUAUUGAUUUAGGGAAAAAUAGGUUUUCACUCGCUAAAAUAAAAAUAUAUGGAAAAAAUAAUCCUAAAUUUUUUAAAUUGUUAUAAAUGGGUGGUGAAUGACCACCUUAAUGUUAUCGUUGAAGUUCAUUUAUGAACUUUCCCAUUUGGAAAACUUAUAAAAGGCCUUCCAUCCUUUGUACAAGAGCAUCCCGAAGAAAGAUAUUUAUUCAUUUCUCUCAUUCUCAUUCUCAUUCUCUCUCUCUUAUUCUCUUAUUUUCUAAACUUUUUCACUUCUCCUUUAUGAUCCCUUCCUCCCCAUUACAUAUUAUUAUUGAGUAAUAUAUAGUUGUUCUAUACUUUUAUUAGUAUUGCAUUUAUCCUCAUUUUACAACACAUUAUCAGUAUGAAUUGCUUUGAAGGUAAUUCUCGUAUCUUAAACUUGAAGUUGUUUAUAUAUAAUAAAAUUUUACAUAUUUAUAUUGUUGUUAGAUUUUGUUUUGUUAUAUAUUGUUAAAAGUUAUAAGAAAAUUAUUUGAUUUUGUUUAUAAUCAAAAGUUAUACUAAUGUUAUCAAUUUAUUAUAACUGAUUCUAAUAAUAUUGUUUUGUCAUAUAUAUGAAGUUAUUUGACAAUAUCGAAUUUCACAAAACUCAAAUUUGUGACAUUUGACAUUUCAGGAAAUAACUAUCUAUCUUGGAUCCUUGGUGUUGAAAUACAUUUUGAUGUAAUGAAUCUUGGAGCUACGAUCAAAGAAGAAAAUCAAGUAUCCCUACAGGAUCGCGCAAAAACGCUGAUUUUCCUUCGCCAUCACCUCCAUGAAGGUUUAAAAAAUGAGUAUCUUACAGUAAAAGACCUUUUUACUCUAUAAAGUAAUUUGGAGGAAAUAUAUGACCACUAGAAAAUUGUGAUUCUCUCAAAAGCUCGAUAUGAUUGGAUGCAUCUAAGUUUGUAGGAUUUUAAAACUGUUAGAGAAUAUAACUCCGCAUUUUUCAAAAUCAACUCUCAAUUAAAGCUGUGUGGAGAAAGAAAAAAAAUCAUAGAAGAAGACAUGUUAGCAAAAACUUUAACUACGUUUCAUGCCUCAAAUGUGCUCCUACAACAGUAAUAUCGAGAGUGUAGAUUUACAAAAUAUUUUGAAUUAAUAUCAUGUCUUCUUGUUGUUGAACAAAAUAAUGAGCUUUUAAUGAGAAAUCACCAAUCUCAUCAACUGGAUUUGAACCAUUCCCUAAAGGAAAUGCAAUAUCGUCCCAAACUCGUGGACGUGGAUGUAGACGAGGACGAGGACAUGGUCGUGGAAGAAAUCCCCGGUACCAUGGUUCUUAUGGUAAUAAUUCAUCAAAUUCUUAGAAAAGGAAAGUCUCAUUGCACUAUCAGAAGUGGAAUAAUACCGAGGCAAAACAAGAAAAUGGGAAGUGUUUACAAGAUAAACCUCCUCAAAACCAUGAGAAUAAUUGUUAUAGAUGUAAUAUGAAAGGGGAUUGGUCACGUACCUGUCAUACACCCAAACAUUUGGUCAACCUUUACCAAGCAUCAAUAAAAACAAAAGGAAAAGAGAUAGAGAUGAACUUUACCGAUGGUGAUGGAUUGGACCUAACCUACUAUGAUAUUGAUUUUUUUAGAGGUUCUAGUAAAAAAAUAGGCCAUUUAAUAAAUGAUGAGAAUAUUAACUUUGAUUGAUGUUACUUUAUAUAUCGAAUAUAUAUUAUUAUGUCUUAUAUUCACAUUCGAUUUUCUUUUGUUAUUUACAUUAUGCCUUGGUUUUUUUUAAAUAUUAGUUAUAUAUAAAAUCCAUGUGUUAUUUGAUCUCAAGAUGAAUGAGGAUGAUGUAUGUCUCGUAGACUAUGCAACCACACACACAAUUCUUCGAGAUAAAAGAUAUUUCCUCAAAUUGACAUUAAUAAAAGUUAAUGUAAGUACCAUAUCUGCUACUACAAACUUAGUUAAAGGCUCUGGAAGAACAAACAUAACACUACCAAAUGAAACUAGAUUCUAUAUAAAUGACACUUUAUAUUCUAACAAAAAUGGAUAUCAUAUUGAAACUGUGAAUAAAGAUAAUGUAGAAUAUCUUUACAUUAUUUCCAUUAUAUCUGGCUAGAAGCUUAUAAUGGAAAAACUCUCGGCUUUCUCCUCUGGGUUGUGUCAUACAACUAUAAAGCCUAUUGAAUCAUAUGUUGUCAUGAACCAAAAGUUCAACGAUCCAAAAGUUUUUGUCCUUUGGCAUGAUAGGCUAGGUCACCCAAGGUCUUCAAUGAUGUGUCAAAUAAUUGAACACUCACAUGAGCAUCCAUUAAAGAAUCAAUAGAUUCUUUUACUUAAUAAAUACUCAUGUGUUGCCUGCUCACAAGGUAAAUUGAUAGUCAAAACAUUUUUUACUAAAGUCAUAUCUGAGUCACUAGUCUUUUUAGAAAGAAUACAUGGGGACAUAUGUGGGCCUAUCCAUCCACCAUGUGGACCAUUUCGUUAUUUUAUGAUCUUAAUAGAUGUUUCUACUGGGUGGUCACAUGUUUGUCUCCUUUUUACACGUAACGUUGCCUUUGCUAGACUCCUUGCACAAAUAAUCAGAUUAUGAACAUAAUUUUCAGAUUAUCCAAUUAAGACAAUACGCCUUGAUAAUGCUGACGAAUUUACGUCUCAAACAUUCAUUGACUAUUGCAUGUUAGUAGGGAUAAAUAUUGAGCAUCCUGUUGCUUAUACUCAUACCUAAAAUAGCUUAGUAGAAUCAUUUAUUAAAUGUCUCCAAUUAAUAGCUUGACCAUUACUAAUGAAAGCCAAAUUACCUACUUUUGCUUGGGAAACAUGCUAUUAUGCAUGCUGCAGCUUUAGUCUGUAUUUGACCUGCAACUUACUAUGAAUACUCCCUUAUAACUUGUGCUUGAAAAACAACCAAAUAUCUUUCACUUACAAAUCUUUAGUUAUGUAGUAUAUGUACCAGUUGCACCUACACAACGCACCAAAAUGGGUCCCCAACGAAGACUUAGGAUUUAUGUAGGCUUUGAUUUUCCAUAUAUUAUAAGAUAUCUUGAACUUUUGACAAGCGAUGUUUUUACAACCAGUUUUGCAGAUUUUUAUUUUAAUGAGGGUGUUUUCCCGCCAUUAAGGGAAGAAAAGUCGAUUCUUGAAAAACGAUGAGAAAUUACUUGGAACGCAUCUGCUAUGUCCCAUCUCAAUCCUCGUUCAAGUCAGUGUGAACUAGAAGUUCAAAGGAUCAUUCAUUUGCAAUCUUGCAAAUCAACUACCAGAAACAUUUAUUGAUACAAAGAAAGUGACAAAGUCACAUAUCCCUACUGUAAAUACUCCAACACGAAAUGAUGUCCAUGUAGGACAGUUAACAAAUGAAUCUAAGAUACGCUUGAAGCGUGGUAGACUUGUCGGCUCAAAUGAUGUAACUCCCCAGAAGAUGAGAACACAAGAAAAACUUGACACUUUAAAAGAGGUCAUCAAAAUGAUUGAUCAGUUUAAAAUUGAUAAAUCUAUUGCCCCAGAAAAGGCACAAAUAAUGCAAAAAGCCCCUAAAGAGGCACAUAUUAAACGAGAAGCCCCUGAAGAUGCACAAAUACCUUAAAAUUGUAAGAUUUCAUUAAAUUAUGUACACACGGGAGAAAAAUGGGAUCAAAAUAAUAUUGUUAUUAACAAUAUUUUUGCUUCCAAAGUGGCCUCCUAUAUCAUAAGAAAUGAUGAAGAUCUUGAACUACGAAAUAUGGAAGAAUGCUGACAUAGAAAUGAUUGGCCAAAAUGGAAAAAAGCUAUGCAGACAAAGUUAAACUCAUUAACAAAACGAGAAGUUUUGGACUUGUAAUCCAAACACUUGAAGAUGUAAAACCUGUUGGGUACAAAUGAGUAUUUGUACGAAAGCGUAAUGAGAAUAAUGAAAUCAUAAGAUAUAAAGCGCGAUCAGUUGCACAAGGUUUCUCACAAAGACUUGGUAUUGACUACGAGGAAACAUACUCUCCUAUCAUGGACGCAAUCCCAUUUCGUUUCUUAAUUAGUUUGGCAGUUUCAGAAAGAUUGGAUAUGUGUCUCAUGGAUGUUAUUACAACAUAUUUAUACGGAUCCAUGGAUAAUGAUAUAUACACGACAAUCCCUGAAGGAUUUAAAUUGCCUGAAGCAAAUAGUACAAAGCCUCGAAGCAUGUACUUAAUCAAGUUCCAACGAUCCUUGUAUGGAUUAAAGCAAUCUAGACGCUUGUGGUACAAUCGCAUUAGUGAAUACUUGCUAAAAGAAGGGUAUGUGAAUAACCCUAUAUGCCCAUGCAUCUUCAUUAAGAAAUCAGAAAUCAUAAAUCAGAUUUGCAAUUAUUGUAGUGUAUGUUGAGGACUUAAAUCUUGUUAGAACUCCUGAAGAUCUCACAAGAACAACAAAUUACUUGAAAAAGGAAUUUGAGAUGAAAGAUCUUGGAAAAACAAAAUUUUGUCUCGGCUUACAUAUCGAGCAUUUUCCAAAUGGAGUUUUAAUACAUCAAUUAACAUACAUUAAGAAAGUUUUGAAGUGUUUUUAUAAGGAUAAAGUGCAUCAUUUAAGUUCUCUAAUGGUUGUCUGAUCGCUUGAUGUGAAAAAUGACUAAUUUCGUCCUUGCGAAAAAAAUGAAGAAUUACUUAGUCCCAAAGUACCAUAUCUUAGUGCUAUUGGUGCACUUAUGUAUCUUGCCAAUUGUAUAUGUUCAGACAUUGCUUUUUCUGAUAUGAGUUUAUUUUACUUAAGGGAAUGAAAACAACAAUUGCUUGGAUAUGCAGAUAUAAGAUAUCUUUUAGAUCCACAUAAAGGUAGGUCACAAAUAGGGUAUGUGUUUAAUUACAAUGGUACUUCUAUUUCAUGGAGAUCUGUCAAACAAUCAAUGGUGGCCACAUCAUCAAAUCAUUUAGAAAUACUGACAAUUCAUGAAGCAAGUCAUGAAUGUAUAUGACUAAGAUUUAUGAUCCAACAUAUUCAAGAAUCAUGUGGACUCUCCUCUAUCAAAGGUGACCUGACAAUAUUAUUUGAAGAUAAUGUUGCAUGCAUUGCAUAGAUGACAUGGGGUUAUAUUAAAGGAGAUAGAACUAAACACAUUUCACAAAAUUUCUUUUAUAUACAUAAACUCUAGAAGAGUGGUGAAAUUGAUGUGCAACAAAUACGCUCAAGUGAUAAUCUAGUAGAUUUAUUCACAAAAUCAUUGUCAACCCCAACAUUCAAGAAGUUAAUAUAUAAUAUUGGAAUGCGUCAACUUAAGGAUAUCGACAUAAGGGAGAGUAUGCUUGUAAAAAGGUGUUAGUGUAUUGUACUUUUUUUCCAUUCGUCCAGGUUUUGUCUCACUGUGUUUUAAUGACAAUGUUUUUAACGAGACAAUCCUAACAUAUCAAGAGCAACUUAAAGAAUUAUAAGAAUAUUGUAUUCUUUUUCCUUCACUAGGUUUUUCCCUUAGGGUUUUUUGACUAGCAAGGUUUUAAUAAGGCAUAUUCUUUUAAUAUGGUAGUCAUCCAAGGGGGAGUGUUAUAAAUGGGUGGUGAAUGACCACCUUAAUGUUACAAUUGAAGUUCAUAAAUGAACUUCAUUUACUCAUCUUUAAGAUGAAUAAAUGUUUUCCAUUUGGAAAGCCUACAAAAGGCCUUCUAUUCUUUGUACAAGAGCAUCCCGAAGAAAAAUAUUUAUCUCUCAUUCUCAUUCUCUCUCUUUUAUUCUCUCUUUCUCUUAUUCUUUAAACUCUUUCACUUUUUCCUGAUCCAUUCAUUCCCAUUAUAUAUUAUUAUCGAGAAAUAUAUAGUUGUUCUCUACUUUUAUUAGUAUUUCAUUUAUCAUCAUUUUACAACAUAAAUUAAUAUUAUUUUAAUCUAUUUAAAAAUAAAUUAAAAUACAUGUACUUUUUACUUUUUAACGAGUCAUCUAAUUAUUUACUAAAAUAUCAUUUUUACUUGUCAUGUCAUUAAUGUAUUUUAAUUUUAAGAAAUAAUUACAUUUAUUUCAAUUUAUUUUUAAAUAGAUGAAGAUAAUACUGAUUUUAAAAAUUUGAGGUUCAUUUUUUCAUAUAUUUUCAUAUUUACGAAUCAAAACCUAUUUUUCCCUAUUUAACUUUGCAAUUCAAGAACCAACGUGAUUCCAACCAAUUCAUGUAGGAUGAAGAUCUUUAACCUGAAUUAUCAAUUCAAGUCAUGACUUAGUAUUUAGUUAUUAAAAUUUUAUUCUAAAAAUAAUUUCAUGGUUUUGUAAAAUGAGGAUAAAUGCAAAGCUAAUAAAAGUAGAGAACAACUAUAUAUUACUCGAUAAUAAUAUAUAAUGGGAAGGAAGGGAUCAGAAAGGAGAAGUGAAAGAGUUUAGAGAAUAAGAGAAAGAGAGAGAAUGAAAAUGAGAGAAAAGGAUAAAAAUCUUUCUUCGGGAUACUCUUAUACAAAGGAUGGAAGACCUUUUAUAAACUUUCCAAAUGGGAAACAUUUGCUCAUCUUAAAAAUGAAUAAAUGAAGUUCAUAAAUGAACUUCAAUUGUUACAUUGAGGUGGUCAUUCACUACCCAUUUAUAACACAUGGUAAAUAAUUGGAUUAAUUAAUAAUUAUUAAUUUAAUUAAAAAAUUCUCAAAAAAUAAAAAUAUGUAAUCUUUGGACUAAUUAAUGAAGGAUUACCCGAUCGGUCACCGACUCUAAUUUAGCCCAAGUCCAUAUAGUCACCGUACAAAUUAAGUUUGGAUUUAAAAGACCUUAUGAUCAAUGACAAAAAAUUGGGCCGGCCCAUGAUCAGCCCAUUAUUACCCGGCUGAACUCACGUAUUGAAAGUUUUUUUGGGAUAAUAAAAAAGCUGCUAAAUAGCUCAAACCCAUCCAAAAUAGGCUUAGGGAGAAUCUUAAUAGAGGGACCAAAAUAUGUCCACCAAUUGUGGAACCAAAAUGGGAAAGAGGAAAGCUGAUUCUUAGAGGGGAAGUAGAACAUCCAUGAAUGAUGGAAGUCCCUGUUCUGGAUUAAAAAAGUAAACCAGGCUUUCUGAUAAUCCCAAUAGUUAAAAAACCUUGGCUUUGAUGGUUCAGAAAAUUCUCUUGAAAAAUUAGGAUUUCCACCCCACUGCUUGACAGUGAGAAUCUUAUAGAUAUGAUAGGUGGAAAAUGCCAAAUCUAAUUUGCUGAAUUUAUCUGCAUUAUGCUUGAUCUUAACAGAUCCAGUCUCAAUGAGAACUGCUUCAUAAAAAUCUCUUGUUUUUGAAAGAUCACUAGAGGGAUAAUGAAAAUUUUCAUGAAAAGCUUUUGCUGCAAUCUCUCUAAAAUUUUCAGAAAAAAAAUUCUCUUUCAAUAGCCAAAAGAGGCUGAUUUAAAUCAUUUUGCCAAUAUCUUGAUUUUAUUGAAAGAGGUGUGGGGUUGGCAGCCACCACAAUUUGUUUGCUUGUAGAAGAGAUUGUUGCCAAUUCCUUUUGAGAGGGAUUAGCCAUAGUAAUCUGCUUAAAGGUCUGAGACCCUGAGAUAGCUGGAUAUUGGGUCACCUUGACUGGUUUAGAAUGAUCCGAAUGAUCAUAGUACAAGGUCAACAUCUUGUUAGGCAUAUAAUUAGAUUCAUGCAUAGGUUUAGAAGAAUGAAGCUUUGCCAAAAGCUGUGCUUCUUUUUCUUCUUGUUCAACUUGUUGGCUCCAAAGCAUUUUAUGGGAAGAAGGAGAUUGGUUAGCUUGACUGGACUGGGAUUUUUGCGAGUUAGGAGCUUGGGUAUUCUUUUUAGGAGCCAUGAUCUCAUGAACCCUACAAAAUUCACGAGAUGGCUGAUUAGGGAUGGAAUAUUUUCCUUUAAUAAACUUACCUUGAAAAUUAGAGCUUAAAAUAAUAUACCAGUUAAUUAAGUAAUGCUUAAAAAUUAUGUAUUUAGUUGUUUUAUCAGAUUCGAAAUCAAUUUUUAAUAAAAAUUCUUGAUUUAAAAUACCAAUUUGAAAUUUUGAAAUGCUUAAAGAAAUUCUUAAAAUAUCAUUGAUGCAAUUAUGUAUGAGCUGAUUUCCCAUCAACCUAGGUGGAACAUCUAUUCUGACAAGAUUAAUAUCUUGAUUACAAGGGUUGAUGCUUAUUGGUGGAUUAGCAAAUUCAAAAAGAAUUUCCUUAUCCAUAAAAUUAGCUCUUAUACCUUUGUUAUCUACCCACAGGGGAUAAAUAGUACUUAAAAAGGGGAUUCCUAAAAGGGCUUUUUCCUUAAGAUCUUUAACAAGAAUAAAGGUUUGCUUAAUACAAACGUCAUGGUUGUGGAUAUUAGCAUCUGUUAAUUUAUACUUUAUGACAAGUCUUUUGCCAUUGGCGCCAAAUAGAGAUUGAUUAGUCUCUUCACAUAAAGAGAUAGGAACAAGUCCUUCUUGAAGACAAUUUUCAGCUGCUCCUGAAUAAACUAAAGCAAUAAUGUCAAGGACAAACUUUUCUUUGAUUACUAUAGUAAGGGGAACUUCCCACAUUUGGAAGAUGACUCUACUAACAGUAUUCAAAAAGGCUUUAGUUUCUUCAUCAUUAACUUGUGAGGAUUCAGGAAGAUCCAUAAGGUUUUCCUGGCUGUUGACAAUCCUAUUGAUUUGUCCUUGUAGGUCAGAGAGACCUAAGCUUGUAAAUUCCCUUAAGUCCUUAAUCUCUUUUCUAUAUUGCUUAACUUCAAUAAGAAGUUCCUUAAUACUUACUUCUUUAGGAGACUGAUGGUCAAAUCUUCUUAAGAUUUCAUUAAGGUUAUAAGGGUUUAUAGUCUUCUUGACUUUUAGCUUAACAACUGAUUUCUUAAAAACUUCAUAAAGAUCUUGCUUAGUUUUAUCAUCUUCAAUUUUUCUCAAAAUAUCUAAGACUAAUUCUUGGUCUUGACUUAUGACAUUUAUGGUUUUAGGUCGGCAAUUACAAUUUCCCUUAAUACAAACAUCUUGGUCACUAGAAGACUGGCUAGAGACAUCGCCACUACUAUCUAGUUGAUUAAUAUCAUCUUCAUUAUUUGAAUCAGUCCUUGAUUCAUAUUAUGAGGAUUUUAAUAAAACUUCACAUAGCAUGUCUUUUAAGUCCUUUGACACAUCAAGAUUGUUAAUUUUUUGCUUAACUCUACAAUCUUUCUUUAAGUGACCAACCCUGCCACACUUAUAGCAAAUGAUUGGCUUAACCUCUAAAGGAGUACUGUCUUUUUUCCGAGCAUCCUUGCUCAUUCUCCUUUGGACGUGUCUUGAAUGCUUGGUUUCAUUCAUCCUAUAAUUACCAUGAGUACCUCUUUUACUAUGGUAAAAUUUAUCCUUGCUAGGUUUCCUGUUGGUUUGUUGCUUAGAGGGGGGCUUAGUUUCUUUCUGGCUGAAACCAAACUGGCUAUAGAAUGACCCGAAUUCAUUCUUGUAGAUUUUUUGUUCAUUCUUCAUUUGUUGUUUCAGCUUAAAAUCAUUACAAAGUUUAAUUCCUUCAGCAGUGACAAUGCUUAUAAUUUCCCCAUAGGUGAGCUUAUCAUAAGGGAUUUGACCAUUAAACUGUUCCCUUAUCUUAAUCCUAAUUCUCUCAAAGAAAAGCCUAGGCAAUCCUGAGAUGAAUUUCUCUUUCCAAAAGGACUGGUUACAGUUUGAUCUUAACAUGACUUUGGUUAGAAAAACUUCCUUAUACCACCUAAAGUCAUGAAGCUUCGGACACUUAAGGUUGGUUAAAAGAUCUGCAGUCUUAUCCUUAAUUUUUGCAGGAUCACCAAUGAAGUGUUUUGAGAUUGAAUAGAUAAGAGUAGCCACUGCAUCCUCUAUAUCAUGACCAUCUUCGUCCUUAACCACUUCAUUUUUCUCAUUAAUCCUGUAGGUUUUUAGGAUACCAUUUUUAUCCUCAAAAGUGAGAAUUAUCCCACCAACCUUUAAGUUGACCUGUAAACCCAGCAACAAUUGUUUGGGCUACAGCAUGGUCUGGUAACCUAUUGUUUAACUUAUAGGCUAUACUAACCAUGGUCAUUUCUUGGAACUUAGUGAGAAUGUUAUACUCGGUCAUACCAUCUAUGUUCCAUUCAUAAAUAGUGCCAUUGGUAUACGAAGCUUGAGUAUAUUGGUUUCUUUCCUCAAACUGCAUGUCAGGAAAGGUAGGUCUAGGAUAAAAAUUCCUAGUCUUAAAAGCUUCUAAGUUGUUAAUAUUGCUUAAAACAGCUUGAUUAUGAGGUUCUUUAAACAUUUUAAUUAAUUCAUCAGCUUCUUCCUCUGAACUAAUAUCACUUUUAACCAUAUUAAUUUGCUUAUGAGGUUGGAUUGAGACAGUGAUAUUAUCCUUAAUCAUCUGGUUAAUUCUAUUCAUAAAGGUUUGGUUGACUUGGGGUUUUUUCUGGAAUUCCUUAGAGAAUUUGAUUCAUGCCCAAUUGGUGUCUCAGCUGAUUCAUGUCCAGCUGGUGCUCCUUGGAUGAGGGAGUAAUCAACAAAAUUUAUAACCUAUUACACCAUAUACUAGGGUAGCAAAGAAAAAGCUACUAUAGUAUAGCGGCUCUAGGAUCGUUCACUGGGAAGGAUUAGAAAAUUAUCAAUGAUACCAAUUCAAAGUGAAUUGGUCUUGUUUCAUUUCAAGGUUAGCUUAAGAAAUAAAACACAAACUUUAAUUGGUAAAGAUUUAGAUUUAAACUAACUACAAAACAAGUAAUGGGAAUAACUUAGGAAGAAAAACAUUCCUUGGAGGGUCAGGUUCACUGGGGUGGUUCCUCAUGCAAAAGACAUAGCUCCGGUCAGAUGGUUCAUUUCCUCACGUUAGAGAUUCAACAUAUAGUCAAUUCUCUAAUUGGUGUUGUACAAAUACAUCCUUUAAUUAGAUUUCAGCUUUAAUUCUCUCACUGAUGCAACUUGCAAUGGUUCAAGCCUCUCACUAAGCCUUAACCAUUCAAGGUGAUCUUUAACCUUGGACUUCCCUUCUCAAGCUCGCAAGAGAUAACUAAUAGAUGUCUCCUUGGAGUCCAAAAGCUUACCAAGUGUUGGCAAUUCCAGAAAAUCCUACCUUAAAGUCACCUCCCAGAGGCUCGCAAGGGGUAAACUAGUGCAUCUCCAUGGUUGGAGAUCACUUGCCUUACCAAGUGUUGGCCCAGGUGACUCUAAGGUGUUUUAAGUUAACUAAAAACAUAGAAAUCACUAAAGGAUUUCACUUCCUCUUCAUUCGUGGCUGAAACCACAAAGCUUUGCAUUCUUGCACUUGGAACCUUUCCCGGCAACCUUAACUCCAAGGAACUAAAGGUUUAGUUACUCAUUCUCUGGGGAAAAUUCCUCAGAGAGUGCAUAACUUAGUAAGAAAUAAAAAAUACAAAGUGAGAAGGUAAGACAAAACAAAGGACCUGAACUUUACUUGCUUUCCCAAAACUUUACAAAGGGGUCUCCUCUUCUGAGAACAGGCUCUCGAGAGGUAUAUAUAUGAACAUAAUACAAAACUAAUUAUUACAUGGAUAUUUACUCUUUUUACUAACUUAAAAGUAAAGGAAUCUUGUAAUUGGUGGCUUACAAGGAGAAUUUUGGGAUUUAGACAACAAAAAUCUGAUGGAAAAUAUCUCCCAAUGUCGGUAGCAAAUAUCGGGAAGCACUACGGACCAUUUCGCAAGAGAAAAUGAUGUCUACGAGAUUUCGCAGACACUCAAAAAGGGCUGCGAAAUCACUUCGCAGCAAAAGGCUAUUCUCGCAGGGCUGCGAAGUUGGCUUUCAUCUUGAGGUUCUCAGCUUCCAACUUGUCGCAUAUAUCGGGCAACUUUAGGAGGAAAUCCACCACACUGUACAAAAAGGCUGCAAAAUCAUCUCGCAACAAAAGGGUGAUUUCGCAGCACUGUGCAAAAUUCUUCCUUCAGCUUGGAGUGAUCGGCUUGCAAUGGCUGUAACUUUUUCGUUUCAACUCUGAAUUGCGCACUGUUUGAAGCAUUGGAUUUCUGACUUCCUGAGCUUUGAAAUGAUAUAUAGCAUGCAUCAAUUGUCCUUUAGAAAGUGCUCCAAAAGUGGCUGAAACAAAUGUCAUCAAGAAUAUACUUCAUGGCAGAUUUUUCUUUUCUUCCUCUCCUUGCAUUCCGGAUUUACUCUUGGCAAAUGACUUCCAAGCUUUGCCCAAGAUUCCUCAUAACUCUCCUCAAUCUCGGAUUGCUUUGGUGAUCAAAAGGCUAUCAAAACAUCAAAACUUAGCACAAUUUGAUUAGAAACGAUUGCAAGGGUCCUUAACAUGUCAAUUGAGUUAAAAGGCAAUAACUACUACUCAAAAGUGUUUAAAAGAGUUUAUUACAAGCUAUCAAAGAACACUUUUUGAGUAGUAAUCAGAAUUCAUAUAUCUUAUUCUCUUUAUUAGUGCUGGUAACCUCUAUAAUCUUAAAGGGAUAAUCUGGAUAUUCCUCUUGUUUGAAGAGUUCAAACCAGAUCCAGAACUUAAUAUUUUUCUUUUCUUGUCUUAAGUAGGAAUAAAAUUCCUCUUGGAGAAUGGUUCUAAAGACUUUAGGAAUAGUUCUAAAAAACCAAUCUUUCUUUUCCUUAUUGACUUCAGAAUAGAAGUCCUUCCUUAAGAGUUCCUUGUUGAUCUCAAAGUUUUCAUCACCAUAGCUUAUGGUGUUGAUCAUCUGAGAAUAUGUAGGAGACAUUUGAGGAGACUCAUCCUGUUGAGAAUCAUGAGUAGAAUCUUUUUCCUCAGUGUAAAAGGGUUUGGCCAAAUUGGUGUGACUUCUAACACCUGUUAACUUGAUGUUCUUAGGAUUUGAACUAGUACCUUCAUCUUUCCUAGUGAUCCUUACUGGGAUAGAUGAGCUUGAAGAUCUAGCUGGUUCAUAACUUGAAACUCUAGGGUUACUAGAAUGACGAAAAGAAUUGGAGAAAAUAAGAUCUCCACCCCCAUCAGGAUAUUGAAUAAUUUGUUCAAUCCUUUCAGAUCUCUGCUCUAUGGCUAGAACUGCAUUAGAGAAAUGCCAGCUUUCUGGGAAUUCAACUUCAUCCCAUCUUAUUUUCAUGGGGACAAUGAUGUUGGACUUAUUUAUGCCGUCUGAAUGAAAGAGAGUAGUUUCUCCCUUAGGACUGGUGCAUAAAGCCCCAGAUCCAACGCUUGUAGUCAUACUCUUGUAGGCAAACCUGGUAAUGAUGGAAACAGGAUUGUUUCCUUCCUUAAACUUAAAGCCAUGAGUCUUAACAUGCAGGACAACAGUAUCAAGGAUGUCUGCGUCUCUUAAUCUAACUGUGAAGUUAGGGAAACACUGGAAAUAAACUGGGCCAUCAUUUAGUCCAGCUUGGACUGCUCCAAUAAUGGAAUCUCGAUAAUCGAGAUGCCUAUUAUCUCUUAAAUACAUUACAAUAGAGGUGUUUAAACCUAAUCUUGUCAAAGGCUUAACUGCCACUUGGAUCAUACCAAAGUGUAUGAAAUUAUACCCAUCUUUUUUAUGCUUAUCAAUGGAAUUACCAUCUAAGAGUCUUAUAAUUUGAUUAUCUUGUUCUAAGCUUAUUGACAUUUCAGAGGUUCUAAUGGUGUAGUCCGUGAAAAACUUAAAGGUUCCUUUCUUGUAAAUUUCUUGGGUAGACACCUUAGGUAGCUUCCAAUCAUCUAGAUCAUUUUGGAUCUUAGGAUAACUGAUCUCUUCACUGUUUACAACAGUAUCUUGAGAAUCACUGGAUCUCCUAGACAUGGUUCUGAAAAUAGAAUUCAUUUUAGGGUUUUGAACUAGAGCCUAAUAGCAGAUUAAGAGACCUGAUGAGACGUCAACCCAACCACAUUACAACCUAACAAACGCCUAUCCACGGCUAACAACGGCUCAACCUGGCAGGGCUCGCGCUCCUAGGCACACUGCUACUUCUCCUAGGGUAGGUCAAAACUUACCAAAACAAACCCGACUUCCCUUCCCAUGGCUUUGAUACCAACAACACCCAAGACAAGGUCAUAUGCAAUGGAGACAUGAAUUAUCUCAAAAUUCAAAACAAAGAAGAGGAGUCAGAAAAUACAAAAGAUAUCUAACAAGAAAUUUAAAGAGAAGGAACCAAAAAACUUGUUAGUUCAUGAUAAGCUUAAAACCGGCCAUGAUAGGCGGUACAAGAACAUAAAAUGAAAUAAAACUUAAUUAAAAACCAUCCAUAUAGGAGGUAAUCAAAACAUAUUUAUUUUAUACAUAAGGAGAAAUAUCUUACAAUGGACGAGGGUAGGAAAAGCUUGAAGAAACUUGAAGGCUUGAGAGCUUACAUGAUGAUAGAAAGAAGAGAGAAGGAGGAGCAUAUGGAAUGGAAAAUUACAUUCUGCUUACAAAUGAGGACUGAUUUACUAAUCAAUAUGAUGAGGUUGUUUAAGAAAAUUGUUAUCUAGUAUAGUCUUUCAGUCCAACAUUGUGGAAGGGGUUUUUUUAAUUUAUUGAACAUGGCAAUGCUUCCUUCCAAUAUCUACAGAUAUGAACUUAUACCUUAUUUCACCAAACUUGUAUGUUGUUCAUGCAUGGUUAUGGUGUGAAAUUUUUGUUAUGGUAUGAUAUUUUGGUUCCCUUUCUGAUAAUGCUAACACAUUCUCUUUUUAUUCUGAUGAAAAUUCCCUCAUGGGCUGAAAAUUGGGUGUAGGUGCUUAAUCAUGUUUCUGUUCUUUCAGUUUAUAUUGGUUCCCUGAGAGAAUAAUAUAGCUAAUUAGACUCAUCCCUGUUGUUGCAUAGCAGAUGCAGAUCUUUGUUAAGACCCUUACUGGAAAAACAAUAACUCUCGAGGUUGAGAGUUCUGAUACCAUUGACAAUGUUAAGGCGAAAAUCCAAGACAAGGAGGGUAUCCCCCCUGACCAGCAAAGGUUGAUUUUUGCUGGAAAGCAGCUUGAGGAUGGCAGGACUUUGGCCGAUUAUAACAUUCAGAAAGAUUCCACCCUACACCUGGUCCUUCGUUUGAGGGGAGGAAUGCAAAUAUUUGUCAAAACGCUUACUAGAAAGACAAUCACACUUGAAGUUGAGAGUUCAGAUACAACUGACAAUGUGAAGGCAAAGAUCCAGGACAAGGAGGGUAUUCCUCCAGACCAGCAGAGGCUUAUCUUUGCUGGUAAGCAGCUGGAGGAUGGCCGGACAUUGGCUCAUUACAAUAUCCAGAAGGAGUCCACCCUUCAUUUGGUUCUCCGUCUGAGGGGUGGCAUGCAAAUUUUUGUGAAGACCCUUACUGGUAAGACCAUUACCCUUGAAGUUGAGAGUUCAGACACCAUCGAUAAUGUUAAAGCGAAAAUCCAGGACAAGGAGGGCAUUCCCCCAGACCAGCAGAGGCUCAUUUUUGCAGGUAAGCAGCUUGAGGAUGGCCGGACAUUGGCUGAUUAUAACAUCCAGAAAGAGUCCACACUUCACUUGGUUCUCCGUUUGAGAGGUGGCAUGCAAAUUUUUGUGAAGACCCUCACUGGAAAAACUAUCACACUUGAAGUUGAGAGUUCAGACACCAUUGAUAACGUUAAAGCAAAAAUCCAGGACAAGGAGGGUAUCCCCCCAGACCAGCAGAGGCUCAUAUUUGCUGGUAAGCAGCUCGAAGAUGGUCGGACAUUGGCCGAUUACAACAUCCAGAAGGAAUCAACCCUUCACUUGGUUCUCCGUUUGAGAGGUGGCAUGCAAAUUUUUGUGAAGACCCUUACUGGUAAAACUAUCACCCUUGAAGUAGAGAGUUCAGACACUAUUGAUAAUGUGAAAGCAAAAAUUCAGGACAAGGAAGGUAUUCCACCUGACCAGCAGAGGCUAAUCUUUGCUGGUAAGCAGCUAGAAGAUGGUCGAACUUUGGCUGACUACAACAUACAGAAGGAAUCAACCCUUCACCUUGUUCUCCGCUUACGUGGGGGUAUGCAGAUAUUUGUGAAGACCUUAACUGGUAAAACAAUCACUCUUGAAGUUGAGAGCUCAGACACAAUUGACAAUGUCAAGGCAAAAAUUCAGGACAAGGAAGGCAUUCCUCCUGACCAACAGAGGCUGAUCUUUGCUGGAAAACAGCUUGAGGAUGGCCGCACUUUGGCUGACUACAAUAUACAGAAAGAAUCUACGCUUCACCUUGUUCUUCGCCUUCGUGGAGGUAUGCAGAUUUUUGUGAAGACCCUGACAGGUAAAACGAUCACACUAGAGGUGGAGAGCUCUGACACCAUAGAUAAUGUGAAGGCAAAGAUUCAAGACAAGGAGGGCAUCCCUCCAGAUCAGCAGAGGCUCAUCUUUGCUGGAAAGCAGCUAGAGGAUGGGCGGACCUUGGUAGAUUACAAUAUUCAGAAGGAAUCUACACUUCAUCUUGUUCUUCGACUCCGUGGUGGUGAUGGCGGUUGCAGUUGGUGAGUGAUAGGUGGUUUGUUGGGGAGUCUAUGGAGCAGUUUAUUUAUCUUGUCUUCUGCAUUGUGGUAGGGUCCCUUGCAAUGUUUGGUGUCCAAUGGUAAACAAUGGUCGGUCUUGGCACCGAUUUGGAUUUGGAUUUACUUCAUAUAAUUAGUAUGUGGAUUUGGAUUAUAAGUAAAUAUUUGGAAUAUAUGUGUUAGAAACUCUAAACAAGUAAUGGUGGGUUGCAGUAUUUUGCUUCUACUUGGGCUUGUCAUGGUUAUAUUUGCAGAAGUUUAUAAUAAGCAUAAGUUUUUAAAAAUAUAAGACUGGGUCGUGUUAUGCUGAUUAGAGUUUAAUAUACCGAAAGUGUAUUCUGUUUAUUUAUUCAGUUUGGCCACAAUGGUUGAUGUAAAGACAAGUGACACUGAGAAGAGAUUCAUCCUCCCAUCAUUAAGAAAUUCAGUCAUUUUUAAACUCACAAAUGACUAUUCGUAUUCAUUCUUAAGACCAAAUAUGAUGAAUAAAUUCAUCUGUUUUCCGUCAACAAUACCGAUGUUGUUAUGAAUAAAUUCAUCUCUUGCUUGCAUUCCAUGCCAUUAGUUGCCUUCACCAACUUUGUAGAAAUAGGUGGCUUACAGAGGUAAAGGAUUUGGUCCACAAGAAAGACAUCUCUAAUUAUUUGUGUAGUUUUUAUUCAAAAGGACUUGUGGUAUAGUACUGUUUUUUUUUGGCUUUGAAUAGCUAAAUUUAUGUGUAUUUUGUAUCCCAUUGUGUGCAUUUCUUGGUGGCAGUGCAUGUAUCAUGGAAUUGAAAUUGAAAUUUUCAUCUGCUUUCCUUGGUUGGCCGCAUUGAAAUGCUAAUUUUUCUUUAGUAUCUUUCAUUAAAUCAAGGAUAAUACAAUUAGGCAUUUGAUGUUUUAAGAAUACAACAAAUCAAAGAGAAGGAACCUUAAUCAUUAGAUGUUACAAGAAAGCAACAAAUCUAAGUGAAUAAUUCCUAAGUUUUUAAUGUAUUAACAAACAUUCAACAAGAAUAAAUUAAGUAAAUAAAGGUUAGUAGAUAUGGAGAUCAAAUAUAGAUUUGAACACAUACAUUGAAGAGGAAAGAAAGCUUAAACAUUGUUUCCUAUAGAGUUUACAUCAAAUGGGCCUUACCCUAGUUAGAGAAUCUAACUAAGAAUGACUUGUUGGAAAUAAUCCUUCAUUUAUAGAUCUUCCAAGUCUUACAACCUUAUUCCCUCUACCAAAGUCUGUUUUAAAAAUUCCCCUUACCUGACUCUUAGUAUUUAUACUUGGAAAACCUUAAGAAUCUAGGACAAGUGGUAGCACCAUCCAAUGAUCAAAUGACUUCAAAAGUAGGUGAGGAAACAUCCAAGAAAGGGGUGGAUAUAGGCAUGUCUCACCCCUAAGGGGGUGCAAUAUGCCCAUAGGCAAGGCAAUAGGUGUGUUGCACCCUUAGGGGGUGUGCCAUUCCUAUGGCCAAGUCAAUGGGUGGUAUUCCCAUCCUAAGGGAUGUAUCGUAGGGGGUUUGGUUUUUUUGGUUUCUAUCAACCCAAAUGUGCACCUUCUAAAGUGCAGACUGCUUAUUUGUCUUAAUACUGAUCUCUGUCAUUGGUGCAAUGCACAAUCCUACCCCUAGUACACAUGAGCCUUUUUGAGUUUUUCUAAUUUUCAAAAUUCUCCCUUUAUCCUCUAUUAUCAAUUAGGCAUCUCUUGUUGUACUUUAAUGUUAAUUUGCCAAGUUCCCUAAAUGACUUAAAAAGAUGAUUAAAGGUCAUGAUUUGUACAAGAAGUAACCUAAUAGUGAGUUAAUUAUUCUUGUGAAAAUAACAAUUCUUAGUGCAAAUUAUGUAGUAGAAGUGAGAACCAAUAUCUCUAGAGGAUAUGAUAAUCCAUAUUAGGAUUAAUGAACAAAACAAAGAACCUAGACAAGGUGAGAAAGCCAAGGAACUUGCUUCCAUGACUAAUCUAGUAGAAGGAAUAUAAGCCCAAAGGUUACAUGAACAACAAAAGAGCAAUAAAGACAAAAAUAUGCCAUAGAAUCAGAAAUCUAAUAUCAAUUUUGUGGACUAAGUCCCAAAACCUUAAAUUUGAUAAAAGGGGAAAUUGCUUUGUUUGUGAAAAUUCCAGGCACUAUACAACACAAUGUAGACAUGGGAGAAGGAAUGAGGAACCAAAAAUCAAGACAAAUUUGGUUAACACUAAUGCAAUAGCUACAAUGGUUUCAUCUAAUAUGAACAUGAUCAGUGAUGUGAGGGAUUAGGUGGUGGACUCAAGAGGGCUACUAGGCAUAUCUCUGGCAAAAGGAUUGCAUCUACUUCCUACAUUAUAGUAGGGAUGUUGAGGAACAACUAUUAGUUGUCAACUUGAGGCCCUUGCCUAUGAUUGAAAGAGGGAAGGUGCCUUUCAAGCUUACUUAUGAAAGAGUACUUGCUCUUAAUGAUGUUCUUCAUGUGCUAAACAUUUGGAGGAAUUUAGUGUACAUACAUUUACUUGGGAAAGAGGGGUUAAGAUCAUGUUUGAAAUUGAAAAAAAUAUUCUCACGGGGAGAAGGCUAUUGUAAUUAGGGCUUAUUCAUAUUAAAUAUUUUAAAAAUUAUAAAUAAAAAUACUUUUAGGUUACAUUUGAAUGGCAGGAUAUGAUAGGAUAUGAUAUAUAUAUCUUAGGAUAUCAUAUUCCAUUUGAUAGGAUAUGAUAUAUUUGGAUAUACAUGUCUUAUACACAUAAUAUUUUAAAAUAGCAUCUCUAAUGAUAUAUGCUAUAUUAUAUUAUACUUAUAUUCAAUUUUUGAAAUGAAUAAAAAAUAAUAUGAAAUAUAUAUUAUUUUCGAUGUUUAAAAUAAAAAUUAUAUCACGUUUAAAUAUUUUCUAUUUAAAAAAUGAAAAUUUUGUUAUGUUUAACAAUAUUCAUGAUUAAAAUAUUUAAACUUUACAUAUAAUUUUUUUUAUAUUAUAUUAUUUAAUAUAUAAAAAUAAUUUAUAUAUCAUAUAUUAAUAUUAUUUUAUAAAUAUUUUUUUAGUUUUUCUUUUUUAAUCAUAAAUUUAAUUUAUAAUAAAAAAAAUAUUUUAUAAAAUGAGUAUAUUAAAAAAUAAAAAUUGAUAAAAAUAAAAUUUUGAUACAUGAUAUAUGUAUAUCUCAUAUCUUACAAUGGAAUUAACAUAUCAUAUAUAAAAGGGAUAAAAAAAAAAUGGUGGAUAAUAUAUCCCGCUACUUAUCAUAUCCCAUGUUUAGUUGAACAUACGAUAAAUGAUGGGAUAAUUUAUUAUAUCUCAUCACCAACCAAACAUGAAAUAAGAUAUAAUAUCCCCUCUUAUUCUAUAGACUUAGGCUACGUUUAGUGGAUAUGAUAUGCAUAUCCUAAUAUAUGAUUUCCAAUGAGAUGUGAUUUUUAAUGAGAUAUGAUAUCCUUGAAUAUACAUAUCGUAUGAACAUAAUAUUUUAAAGUAGUAUAUAUAAUUAAAUAUGUUAUAUUAUGUUAUAUUCAUAUUUAAUUUAUGAAAUGAAUAAAAAAUGAAAUAAAAUAUAUAUUAUUUUUAAUGUUUAAAAUACAAAUUAUAUAACAUUUAAAUAUUUUCUAUUUAAAAAAUGAAUUUUUUUUAUAUUAUGUUAUUUAAUAUAUAAAAAUAAUAUAUAUAUAUAUAUAUAUAUAUAUAUAUAUAUAUAUUAAUAUUCUUUUAUAAAUAUUUUUUUUUAGUUUUUCUUUUUUAAUCAUAAAUUUAAUUUAUAAUAAAAAAAAUUAUUUUAUAAAAUGGGUAUAUUAAAAAAAUAAAAAAUUAAUAAAUUUUUUUUGAUACAUGGGAUAUGUCUAUCUCAUAUCUUACCAUGAGAUUAAUAUAUCCCAUGUAAAAGGGAUAAAAAAAAAAGAAGAAAAAGAUGAUGAAUAAUAUAUCCCACCACUUAUCUUAUUCCAUAUUUAAUUGAACAUAAGAUAUGAUAUAAUAUCUCAUCUCUUAUCCUUAUCUUAUGCUAUAUCGAAUCAACCAAACAUGACCUUAAUUUUUUUACUUAUAUUAUUUACCUCAUGUGAUGUAUAAUAUGUUAGACUUGGAUAUAUGAACUAUUCUUACGUAAAAGAAAAUGAUAGACAUUGAAUUUAUACCUAAAAUACCUUUAGGAAAUCUUGGAAAAUGUGAAAGUUAUAUAGAAUCUAAAAGCACCAAGCAAACUUGCAAGUAGCAUAAUCACAAACAAAACUUAUGACUUAAGUAAUUAAAAAAAAUACAAUGAUCGAGGUGAUGAAAUAUUUUACAUAAUCUUUAUAGAUAACUCAUAUAAUAGUAUAUCUUGAGGAAUAAAAAUGACAAUAGCCUAGUUUUCAUAGAAUAUGAACACAAAAGUUAAGACCCAACUAAGUAAAAAAAUCAAAAGACUAAAACAGAGCAUGGAGGGGAAUGAGUCAAACCUUUUCAACCCCAUUUGUGAAGAUCACGAGAUUAUUAAGAAGAUAACUCAUUCAUGUUCCUUAAUUAAGAUGAUGUUUGUUUUUUUACUUAAUUUUAAAUAGAACCUUAAUGCUUAAUAGUGUUAAAUAUUAGGUUGUUUGUUUUUGUAAUAUUUUAUUUUUAUUAAGUAUUAAAAAGUAAAAAAAAAUCAAUAUGUUAUUUUUUCUAUUUAGAAAAAGUUAAGUAUUUUGGUUUUUUUUUAUUUAGUAAAAAGUCUAUAAUAAGUCGUGAAAAAGUAAAAUAACAAACAACCUAAAUUCUGAAAACAAAUUACUUUCAGCAAAAAGCCAAAAAAAUAAACACCACCUAAGAGUGCAUUUAGUACUUAGUACUGAUUUUAAAAAAAUGCUUUUAACCUUUUUAAUACUUUGAAAUUUUUAUUUUUUAAGUAUUAAAAAAGCUAAAAAUAUUUUCUUAAAAUUACUAUCAAACUCAUUCUAAAUAUGUAAGUAAAAGAAAGAAUUGAACCUUUAAAGAUACGAUGAAUGCAAUUAUAGUAAGCUCAUGAGCACCCUUAAACCCCCUUAAGGACGUUUGAACAUUCUAAUCAUUAUAUUUUGUCUAUCAUGUCACAUUUUAAUAUAAUCAAUCCCAUUGCAAUGAGAAGUGUUAUCACUCUUGAUAGACUCAAUAAUCAAUAAAAUUUAUUGAAAUAAAAACUUGUUUUAAUUUUUAAAUGUGAUGUGAUCAUUUAAAAAGUGAUGAUAUUUUUUUUAAACAUGUUUUCUUUCUUUUUCUUUUUCUUUUUAAAAAUAAAUUUUAUUUGAUGUUAUACAUGCUCUUGAUCAUCUAGAAUCUCUUUAUUAAAUAUAUUAGUUAUUCUAAUAUUAAUUUUUUUUUAUAAAUAUUUAAUCCAAUUAAAAUAUUAAACAACUAGAAAAUAAAUAUUUUUGAAAUUCAUGCAUUAUGUAAUUAUCUUUUUAUAUAUAAAUUCUUGCUGUUCAAAAAUGAUAAUUUAGCAAAACUAAAUAAAUAAAUUAUUCUUUGUUCUUUAAUGCCUUUAUUAAAUAUAUUAACUUUUUUUAACAUUAAAGAGUCCUACAAAUACUCAUUAAUAAUUUAAUUAUAUAUAUAUAUAUAUAGAUGUAAUAUUUAUCUUUUCAUAAAUAAAUUAUUAUCCAUUGAAAAUGAUAAUUUUUUAAAUAAAAAUAAUUAAUAAUUUAUAUCUAUAAAAAAUAAAUUCUAAAAAAAUUUACUACGAUUAAUAAUACUAUUUAUUUAUUUUUAUAAUAAAUUAAAUGAUGUGACUAAGUAAGUAUUUGAUAAAAUUUAAUAUUUAUUACUUAAUGAUUUAAGUUGAUUUUAAGUUAAAUUUUUCUUAUUAACUUAAAUCUUAUUAUUUAUUUUUUACUUCAAAUAUUAAGAUUAUUUAAUAAAAUUAACUUAAAAUUUAUUUUAAGUUUUUAAAUUGACAUAUUUACCAUUCUGUGAUUAAUGUUUAUCAUCAUUAAUUUUAAUUAAUAUUUAUUUUCAUUAAUCUUAUAUAAAUAUAUAAAGUAAUUUAAAAAUAUUUAUUAUAAAAAACGAGUAAUGGAUGUGGAGUCAUAUUGUUAAUUAUAUUUUCAUUAAAUAAGAGCAAAUAAGAUAAAAAUAAAAUAAAAUUGAGAUUAAGAAUAAUUUGACUAUUUUAACUUAAUACUUAAAGUCAUUUUUAACUUUAAAUUGUGAUAUUGAGUCAUUUUACUAAACAUAUUUAAUAUACUUAGCAACUUAAAUUAAGUUAUUAAAUCACUUUAGGUUGUUAAAUUGAUUUCCUAAAUAUCAUCUAAGCUUUGUUAUUUUGUUUGUUAAAAAAUUAUUCUCUACUAAUACUCUUUCAUACAAACCCUUAAAAUAAGUGGAUAAAAAAUUAUUUAAAUGCACCUACAAUUGUAAAAAAAAAAGAAAAAAAAAAGUGAAGAAACUUUGUAGUAAGAAUAGUUAAAAGAAAUUUGGAUAAAGACAUGAAUUAUUUCACUAGAAUAAAGAAAAUAAAAUACAAAUACAGAUUUAUUCUAUUUUUUCAUUUAUGAAUUGUUAUUUAACAAUAAAAAAAUUAUUUUUAUAGAAAUCAAAACUCAUUCUUGCUUAAAUUCCUUUUUUUUUUUUUUUUGUUUAAAAUCUAAAUAGACUUGAAUUUGACUUAAAUUUCUUAGUAUGUUGAAGAGUUUAGGUUGUUUAUUUUGUAAGUAUCUAAAUUAAGUCUUAAGUUGUUUGCUUUUCUUAAUAAUUGAAUCUUUGUUAAUUGUUAAAUCUAUUUAUUUUUACAUAUUAAAAGCAUCUAUAAAAUUAAUUAUUUUAUUUCUUCUUAUAUUGAUUUGAAAAAAAACACAAUUUAAGAUAUUUCUAAAUAUCUCAAAAUUUUAUAAUUUAUUACCAUAAUAAAAAUUUACAAUAACUAAUUUUAUAAUUAGUAAGAAAUCAAUAAUUGAAUAAUACGUAAGAUUUCUAAUUAUGCUUGGUUGCUACAAAAUUAUUAGGAAUUUUUAAGUGAAUACUUGCUUUUAUUUGGUAUAUCGUUAAAUUUAUGAAUUCGAAUUGAAAUUUGUAUUUGUGUUGUGAAAAAAUCAUCACAAAGAAUAAUAAUACAGAGGAAAGAAAAAGAAAAUAAAAACAAAACACACAACGAUCUACGUGGUUUUACCUCAAACCUACAUCCACAAUUGAAGAUGAAGAAGAACUUCCAUUAUUAUCAAAGGAAAUUACAACCUUAGAUCUCUCAUAUCCUAAAGUCUCAAUUUUGGUUAUUUCUUCCUAUAUAUUUUUUCUAAUUAUAAAGGAAGAUUUCGUAUAAGAAAAACUAAGUGUAUAAUUGUCAAAGAUAAAUUUUCCUACAAGAAAAUCUUUUCCUUUUAAAUCCAUUUACAAGAAUAUCUUCUAUUAGUAAAUUAUCAAUAACUUUCUUUUCUAACAUAAUUGAAAUUACUUCAUUAAGAUUUUUAAUUUGGGAAAGCUUAUUAAAUUCUAACUUUUCAUUUUUUAAAUUUAAAUAAAAUAUUAAUUUUAAUGGACAUUUAGAUCAUUAUGAAUUAUAUUUUGGAUUUUCAAUUAAAAUUUCCUUGGAUUUAAUGAUUAUUAAUUUCUUUUAGUUAUUUAUAUGGUAAGAAGUUGAAAAUUUAAAAUUUAUAAUUUAUCAUAAAUUUAUUUAUUUUUAUUAAUUUUUUUAUAUUACUUAUUUUGAAAAAUAAAAAAAUUAUUAUUACAAAAUUAAAUUUAUGAUUUAAAAAAUAUUUAUAAAAUAAUAUUAAUAUAUGUUUAACUAAACUUAUAAGAAUUGAAUAAAAUUUAAAUAUAUGUUUAAUAUACGUUAAUUUAAGAUUUGAAUAAUAAAAAUUAAAAUAAUUAUAAUUAUACUUGGUUUUUUUAUUAAAUAAGAUCAAAUAUAAAAAAAUUCUUUUUUUUUCCUUCUUUUUGAGUAGUUUCCGAGAACCCAAACAGAAAGCUUUAUAAAUUGGGAGAAUUGUGUUUUGGGCCCAGCUGGGCCCAAAAAUUAAGAAAUGGUCCAUCUAACCGACCCAUUUAAGCUGAAAACCCAUAGGAAGUGUCAAAAUUAAAAAGAAGGAUAUGCACUUUUAUUAAUUCCAAAAAUAACCUUUGCUGAUUAUGAAAAAAAAAAUAUAAUAAACAAAAAAAGCCAGGUUGGAAUUUUGCCCUAUGUCUCUUCAGAUUUCAAGCCUCCGUUUUCUUCUCUUCGUCUGCGGCUCUUGGGAAUUUUGCCCUAAUUUUGCUCUCUUCAGCGUUUCAAGCCUAUAAGCCAUUUUCUUCUUUGCCUAGAAGUCGUUUUCUUCUCUGCCUAGAAGCCGUUUUCUUCUCUGUCUAGAAGCCGAUUUCUUCUUUGCCUAGAAGCCGUUUUCUUCUCUACCUAUAAGUCAUUUUCUUCUCUGCUUAGAAGCCGUUUUUUCUGUUCCUCCCGAGUUUCUCCAUCGCUUGCAUCUCAAUCUUUGUGGCUUUUUGGAAUUUUGCCCUAAUUUUGGUCUCUCUUCAGCAUUUCAAGCCUAGAAGCCGUUUUAUUCUCUUCCUCCCGAGCACUUCCAUCGCUUGCAUCUCAAUCUCUGCGGCUCUUUCAUUUUUUCUCGCAUUCGGCUGUCUCAAAAAUUUGAAUAAGGUAUGGAUUUCAGUUGGGUAUCUCUUGUUGCAUAUUUGAGGUUAGUAGAUUGCCUAAAUUUUGGUCUCUUCAACAUUUCAAGCCUAGAAGCCAUUUUCUUCUCUUCCUCCCGAGCACCUCCAUCGCUUGCAUUUCAAUCUCUGCGGCUCUUUCAUUUUUUCUCGCAUCCGUCUCUCUCGAGAAUUUGAAUAAGGUAUGGAUUUCAGUUGGGUCUCUCUUGUUGCAUAUUUGAGGUUAGUAGAUUGCCUAAAUCUCGACCUAAAUUUUCUUAGUCCAAAUCUCUAAACUGUGUUCAACUUGAUCUCUGGAGUUCAAGUUAGUGUUCCCAUUCAAUAAUUGACUUCUUGGUUUGGUACUAUUAUUCGGAUGCUGAGAAAGUAAUGAGACAAAGAAAGGAAAAAUUUUGAACCAUAAUUUUUUCUUUAAUCCUUGAGAAUACAGAAAAUGCACUUUACCUACAACUCAUGAUUCAUGGCUUAAUCGAUCUGAUUAAAUUUUUGUAAUUUUUUUUAGAUUUUUAUUUCAUGGUAUUUGUAUAUUUUAAAUUCAAAAAAAUAUUUGUGAAAAAUUGUCAUAUAUACUUGAAAAUAAUUUAUAAUUGUUUAAUUGGUUGCUAGAAAACCAGGAGAGGAAAAAGGGAAAAGGGAAAUGGAUAACCUAAAAACCCUAAAGUUUUCUUAUGGUGCAUUGGCUUGAGAUGUAGGCACAAGUAACAGAUUUAUCUCUUUUUAUCUAUNNNNNNNNNNNNNNNNNNNNNNNNNNNNNNNNNNNNNNNNNNNNNNNNNNNNNNNNNNNNNNNNNNNNNNNNNNNNNNNNNNNNNNNNNNNNNNNNNNNNNNNNNNNNNNNNNNNNNNNNNNNNNNNNNNNNNNNNNNNNNNNNNNNNNNNNNNNNNNNNNNNNNNNNNNNNNNNNNNNNNNNNNNNNNNNNNNNNNNNNNNNNNNNNNNNNNNNNNNNNNNNNNNNNNNNNNNNNNNNNNNNNNNNNNNNNNNNNNNNNNNNNNNNNNNNNNNNNNNNNNNNNNNNNNNNNNNNNNNNNNNNNNNNNNNNNNNNNNNNNNNNNNNNNNNNNNNNNNNNNNNNNNNNNNNNNNNNNNNNNNNNNNNNNNNNNNNNNNNNNNNNNNNNNNNNNNNNNNNNNNNNNNNNNNNNNNNNNNNNNNNNNNNNNNNNNNNNNNNNNNNNNNNNNNNNNNNNNNNNNNNNNNNNNNNNNNNNNNNNNNNNNNNNNNNNNNNNNNNNNNNNNNNNNNNNNNNNNNNNNNNNNNNNNNNNNNNNNNNNNNNNNNNNNNNNNNNNNNNNNNNNNNNNNNNNNNNNNNNNNNNNNNNNNNNNNNNNNNNNNNNNNNNNNNNNNNNNNNNNNNNNNNUUUUUAUUCUNUAAUUUGAAUCUUUAAUUUCCAUUCAGUUUACAUUUCUCAUUUUGUUUUUUAUUUUUAUUAUUAUUUUUAGUUUUGUUUAGGUAUGUAGUAUUUAUCAGUCCAAGAGAAGAGAGAAGCUCGGUCUUCAUAUCUUAGUUCAACUCACCGUUUGUUUAUUAGUGCCUAUCUUAAAAUAAUCUUACCGUUGACAAUGGUUAGAAUAAUCAAAAGGAGCAACAAAAAUUAUUUUUUAAGACUUUAAAGUUACAUUUUUUUAUAUAUACAUUUUUUAAAAUAUAACUUUUUUGUAUGGGAACACAGUAUAUUGUGAGAUGAAAAAACUUUUAAGAUCACAUUGAAUAUGCAUUAUUGUUUGUUCAACAAUAUAAAUUUGUGCUUUAUUUCAAUAGGUUGAUGGAUGCCACAAAUAGAAUAUACUGUCAUAUUUUCGUGGGAGGCAAACUUGUCCAAAAAAAUGAUGGCCUUUGGGAAUAUGUUGGUGGAAGAAGCAAAGGUAUUCACAUUUAUAAAGGAAUGACAUUUGAAGAAUUCAAUCAGAAGGUCUUAGAAAAAUUCGACAUUUCCCUUCAUGUGAUGAGGAUGCACUACACCCUCAAGUUUAACCCUAGAGUCAUCCAAGAUUUAGAAGAUGAGGAUGACUUGGAUAACGUGGUUUCCCACAGUGAUGACUUUGCAAAUGUGUACAUAGUCGAGUCACCCGGUGUGGAAGCCAUAGAGGCAAAUAUACCAAAUACACAGUUGGCACUUGGGUAAUGCGUUUUCACUUGGAUGUCUAUUUAAAAUUUGAUGAAUAUCAAUUUUACGCAUUAUGUAGUCUAAUUUUGGUUAUGAAUGUAAAUGCAGAGGUCCACAUCCUACGUUUCCUUCGUCUAAUGCAUCAUGCGAUGCAAAUCCUAAUACUAUGAUGUUAUCAAGAGGUUUUGCAUCGCGUUGUGCAGAUACUGAGUACACCCUUUUGGAAUCGAAUCGGUUUCGUGAGGCAAUAUUAGGUUCCAGACAUACAUUUAAGAAUGCAGAUGAGUUUCGGAAUGCAAUAUACCAAAUGUCAUUAGCUGGAAGGUUUCAAUACAAGUACAAGAAAAAUUCACCUACACAUAUGUCAGUAAAGUGUUCGGUUGAGGAUUGUCCUUGGAAGAUAACAACUCAUGCUGUUGAAGGAAAUGAAAUAUUACGAGUUUAUACUUACCAAGUUAAUCAUAAUCAUAUAGCUCAAGAUGAGUGUUCAUCUAAGGUGCGGGUUUCUUCCAAGAGAGGUGUUGUUGUUGUUGAAGACGUGUUUAGAACAACUCCAGAAUACCUUCCUCGACAAAUUUGCAAGGAUUUUGAACGUGAUCAUGGAGUUCAAUUGACUUAUAACCAAGCAUGGCAUCUUAAAGAGAAGACAAAAGAGCGUGUAUAUGGAUCUCCACGUGCGUCCUACGCGUAUUUGCCUUGGUUAUGCCAUAGGCUAAGGGAAAUUAACCCUGGAACUAUUGCCGAGUACACUUCUCAUGAAGGUCACUUCAAGCAAUUGUUCAUUGCCCACGCAUUUUCAAUUCAAGGGUUCACCAUGGGGUGUCGACCGGUAUUGGCUAUUGAUUCUUACCACCUAAGUGGUCCAUACAAAGAAGCUCUUUUGUCUGCCAUUGCAUAUGAUGCAGAUGAUGGAAUGUUCCUUCUAGCCUUGGGUGUGGUUGGUUCAGAAAAUUAUGAAGAUUGGUAUUGGUUCUUGNNNNNNNNNNNNNNNNNNNNNNNNNNNNNNNNNNNNNNNNNNNNNNNNNNNNNNNNNNNNNNNNNNNNNNNNNNNNNNNNNNNNNNNNNNNNNNNNNNNNNNNNNNNNNNNNNNNNNNNNNNNNNNNNNNNNNNNNNNNNNNNNNNNNNNNNNNNNNNNNNNNNNNNNNNNNNNNNNNNNNNNNNNNNNNNNNNNNNNNNNNNNNNNNNNNNNNNNNNNNNNNNNNNNNNNNNNNNNNNNNNNNNNNNNNNNNNNNNNNNNNNNNNNNNNNNNNNNNNNNNNNNNNNNNNNNNNNNNNNNNNNNNNNNNNNNNNNNNNNNNNNNNNNNNNNNNNNNNNNNNNNNNNNNNNNNNNNNNNNNNNNNNNNNNNNNNNNNNNNNNNNNNNNNNNNNNNNNNNNNNNNNNNNNNNNNNNNNNNNNNNNNNNNNNNNNNNNNNNNNNNNNNNNNNNNNNNNNNNNNNNNNNNNNNNNNNNNNNNNNNNNNNNNNNNNNNNNNNNNNNNNNNNNNNNNNNNNNNNNNNNNNNNNNNNNNNNNNNNNNNNNNNNNNNNNNNNNNNNNNNNNNNNNNNNNNNNNNNNNNNNNNNNNNNNNNNNNNNNNNNNNNNNNNNNNNNNNNNNNNNNNNNNNNNNNNNNNNNNNNNNNNNNNNNNNNNNNNNNNNNNNNNNNNNNNNNNNNNNNNNNNNNNNNNNNNNNNNNNNNNNNNNNNNNNNNNNNNNNNNNNNNNNNNNNNNNNNNNNNNNNNNNNNNNNNNNNNNNNNNNNNNNNNNNNNNNNNNNNNNNNNNNNNNNNNNNNNNNNNNNNNNNNNNNNNNNNNNNNNNNNNNNNNNNNNNNNNNNNNNNNNNNNNNNNNNNNNNNNNNNNNNNNNNNNNNNNNNNNNNNNNNNNNNNNNNNNNNNNNNNNNNNNNNNNNNNNNNNNNNNNNNNNNNNNNNNNNNNNNNNNNNNNNNNNNNNNNNNNNNNNNNNNNNNNNNNNNNNNNNNNNNNNNNNNNNNNNNNNNNNNNNNNNNNNNNNNNNNNNNNNNNNNNNNNNNNNNNNNNNNNNNNNNNNNNNNNNNNNNNNNNNNNNNNNNNNNNNNNNNNNNNNNNNNNNNNNNNNNNNNNNNNNNNNNNNNNNNNNNNNNNNNNNNNNNNNNNNNNNNNNNNNNNNNNNNNNNNNNNNNNNNNNNNNNNNNNNNNNNNNNNNNNNNNNNNNNNNNNNNNNNNNNNNNNNNNNNNNNNNNNNNNNNNNNNNNNNNNNNNNNNNNNNNNNNNNNNNNNNNNNNNNNNNNNNNNNNNNNNNNNNNNNNNNNNNNNNNNNNNNNNNNNNNNNNNNNNNNNNNNNNNNNNNNNNNNNNNNNNNNNNNNNNNNNNNNNNNNNNNNNNNNNNNNNNNNNNNNNNNNNNNNNNNNNNNNNNNNNNNNNNNNNNNNNNNNNNNNNNNNNNNNNNNNNNNNNNNNNNNNNNNNNNNNNNNNNNNNNNNNNNNNNNNNNNNNNNNNNNNNNNNNNNNNNNNNNNNNNNNNNNNNNNNNNNNNNNNNNNNNNNNNNNNNNNNNNNNNNNNNNNNNNNNNNNNNNNNNNNNNNNNNNNNNNNNNNNNNNNNNNNNNNNNNNNNNNNNNNNNNNNNNNNNNNNNNNNNNNNNNNNNNNNNNNNNNNNNNNNNNNNNNNNNNNNNNNNNNNNNNNNNNNNNNNNNNNNNNNNNNNNNNNNNNNNNNNNNNNNNNNNNNNNNNNNNNNNNNNNNNNNNNNNNNNNNNNNNNNNNNNNNNNNNNNNNNNNNNNNNNNNNNNNNNNNNNNNNNNNNNNNNNNNNNNNNNNNNNNNNNNNNNNNNNNNNNNNNNNNNNNNNNNNNNNNNNNNNNNNNNNNNNNNNNNNNNNNNNNNNNNNNNNNNNNNNNNNNNNNNNNNNNNNNNNNNNNNNNNNNNNNNNNNNNNNNNNNNNNNNNNNNNNNNNNNNNNNNNNNNNNNNNNNNNNNNNNNNNNNNNNNNNNNNNNNNNNNNNNNNNNNNNNNNNNNNNNNNNNNNNNNNNNNNNNNNNNNNNNNNNNNNNNNNNNNNNNNNNNNNNNNNNNNNNNNNNNNNNNNNNNNNNNNNNNNNNNNNNNNNNNNNNNNNNNNNNNNNNNNNNNNNNNNNNNNNNNNNNNNNNNNNNNNNAAUGUGGUAUCCUUUAACUUGAUGUAUACUUUCACUUCCCUAUUUUAAGUAUGUCCUACUCACAUCAUUGGAUGCGUGCAUUUUUCUUAUCACUUAGCUGAACUUUCAUAGUAUUGUACUAUACUUGCUGUCUAGUUAUUCAGUUGGUCAGUUUAUCUGUGCAUUACAUUCUACUUUUCUAUGCCCAAUGAUGCAGUUAUAAUAUUAACAAUGGCUGGUAAUGGCUUAGAUGGUUCUGCUGCCAGUUCACUCCCACUCUCGGUAUGGUUCAUCAUACUUGCUUAUCUUUGUUGUUUUUUGCAUUCUUCCGUUGCCAACAUACUAUUUGAGAGGUUUUCGCUUCUGUAGUACAGUGCCACAAGAACUUAUAAUCUAUAGUCAUGCAAUUUUAAUGUAUUGUCAGAACAUAAAUCAGAAUGCAUGUUGGUCUCAAAAUGGGUGAAAUUUCAUUUUAUGAUAUUUUACAUAUUUGAAUUGGUGUGAACAAAUUACUCCCUUGUUUAUAUAUAAUCUGAAAUCCUUUUAUGAAAUUUUCAUUUUCAGAUACCUUUUAAGUUAGUAUAUAUAUAUAUUAUGCAUGAAAUUUAAGUGAUUUCUUCAUGUCCCUUAUUAUAGUUACCAUGUAUCAGUUAUGUUAGAAAGUUCUCUAAUAUUGAAGUUUUAACAAUUCAACGUUUAUUUAUUAAAUACUAUUAUAUCAGCUUUGUAAGUUGUCGGGUAAUAUUUGUGUUCAAUUUGGUAAUAUAGAAAAUGUGGUUCACUAACACCAUAUACAAUUAUGCUUUAGGGAUCUAAUGGUCUUCGCUAUACAGCUGUGGGGAUAGGCAAAAACCAUGUCCUCUAGGAUGAGGGAGGAGGGUAGAGGAAGGGAUAAAGAGAGGUGUUCUGGUAUGAAUGGUGAUGGGGAUGGGAUUAACUCUUUAGCCACUUGAGUUAUAGGUAACCCUUACCUCUGUAGCCACUUUAGCCAGGUCCCCAGGGUUAAAUGAUCACAAUUAUUUAUGGGGACCUCAAUGGUAUUGAGACAUUAGGCUUCUUUUUGCUUCACCUUCUAAGUGAUUUAAAUAUGAAGGUGGAGAGCCAUGCCUUGCCAAUUUCUCACUGCCUUGGACUCUGGACAUAUCUUUUUUUCGGGUGGCAAAUUCUGUAUUAUUUUUUGUUUCUAAGAUUCAAACAAUUGACUUAAGCAAGGUGCAUAGCUCUCUACACACUUCAUAUACCAGUAUUUUGAACCAGUUACAUAAAUUCAUUUACGGUGAUUCACGCACUGACCAAGAAAACUGAUGUGGCAAACUUGUACCCAAUGUGGCUUUUGCCAGGAGCAGUACAGACAUUUAAAAUUGCUCAUGUAUAUCUUCUUGCAGAAUCCUUACAACAAUGAAAAUACUUCUAUAAGUUAACAGAAAAAAAAAACAUAAAGUCAUAGCACAUAACUUUUAUUCUCCAACAUAAAGUAUGGUUUCCAAACUCCUCUUCAUUCAUUUAAUUCUCCAACACUCAUGGAUUCAUCUUAUUUAUUCUUGUUUUCAAGCGUAAACAUACUCUUUGUUUACUAUUCUACAAAAAAGUAUGUAGUAGCAUUUCAUAGUGUAUCAUUACCUUAUUUUAAAUGCCCACUUCCUCUUUUCUGCAAAUUUUAGAUUAUUAUGGCCAUUGAAUCAGAUUCAAGCCUCAAAACUUUCACAAGUUUCAAUUAAUAGUCCUAGGUUACAUUUAUUUUCCCAUGAAUCCUCACUCAGCUAACAACUUAGGUAUGAAUGAACUUUGGUCAAACACAUGAUUCGUGGUAUCAAAUGAUAGUGUACAAUUCUUCACUGAUAGUUAGUACCAUGUGGGAAUACUCUCAACAGAAACUUGGAUUCCAAACCUUGUCCAUGUUCAAUGGCAAUAGCAAAGUGCUUGCUCUAGCAGUUCCUCUAGAUUUUGUGUAUGUCAGAAGUAUCAAAAGGAGCAGGUUAAAUAGGAUUAUUCAUUGAUUUGUUGAUGGUUUCUUUCUCUAAUAUAAUUAGUCAAUUUAUUUACAUAAAUUGAUUUGAUUUCUUUCUUUUAUAUAUCAUGUAGUAUUCUCAUAUUUAUUUUUUUCUUUUAUAGUCUAUUCUGUACAUUUUGACUGUUAUUGCCUAUUCUAUAUAGCCUUAUUCAUAAAUUUUCAAUCCUCCCUUUUACAGGAUAUCUCACUAUUAGUAGCACCCAACCCCAUCUAAUGUCUUACCCUGCUGUAUAUUAUUUCUAAAUACAAGCAGACAAAUCUUUGUAACUUUGAGAAAUGACAGCUUUACUUUUUCACUUAUUUUAUUGCAUUACCAACUGCAAGAAUGUUGCUAUUCCUAACAUGUCCAUGUUUUCUAACAUUGCAUGCAGGGCACAUCAAUGUUUACACGAUGCUCAGCUGCAAGAUUUAAGAAACUGUGCAACCGAUUACCAGAGGCAAAAAUUCAAGCCAUAAGAGACCUCCAAUUUGGAGGUCUCUUAAACUUAAACUGCACAGAGGUGCGCCACAACCUCUGUAUCUUUCUAAUCCAACAUUUCAAUGUUGGAUUUAGACGGAUAGAGUUCUCAGCCCAGAAACACUAUCCUGUUACAGCCACCGAUGUUGGCCUCAUUUUAGGCCUCCCAACAGAAGGACGGAAUUUGCAGGUGACCUCCACAUCAUCAGAUCAUCCAUUUGGGACUAUUCGGGCAUGCGAGGAGAAACUCCUAGACUUACCUGUAGGCGAGGAGUUCCGUAGAGCAUUCAUUUACUACGCAUGUGCCACAUUGUUGGCCCCCACGUCUAGGCUCAAUGGUUGCCGUAACUUGUGGCAUACCAUCCAUGAGGAUGGAUUCCGAAAUGAUGUUAAUUAGGCCCAGUUUGUGCUUGACCAACUGGUUGAGGGAAUUAGGCGAUACCAACAAUCUAAGACCUCUUGGGUACAUGGCUGCGUUUUAUUUCUUCAGGUAGUGAACUUAUUCAGUCUUUGUCUUCCAUUUUGUUAUCUAAUUUUAUUGCACAACAUAUUCACAUUUGCCUACUGAUGUUUCUAUUUAUUUUGCAACUGCAUUAUGUCAUUAAAUUCCAAAUUCCUUCAAUCCAAGUCCCCAUUACAGUGCCCCCAGCAUUGGCAUGGAUUGAUGAUUUGAUUAAGCGACGACUAGUCGCUGAGAUAAAGGAGUUUGGAGCAUUCGGACAUGCUGAGAUUGAUUUUGUAAGUUAUGCAUGCAUAAAUAUAUUGUCAUUACUAGCAUAACACUCAUUAUUUAAGUACUAAUCUUCAGUGCUAAUUAUAGGCGUCCCAGAGAUCUCCAACCGUAGAGAGAACUAUGGAGCUAGAGACUAAUGUGGACCAUGACACAAAUGUUGAUGCUGAAAAUAGUGAUGUAAGCUGUGAAUUUUUCAAAAACUUAAUAAAUGUUCAUUUCAUUGUCAUUGUAAUUUAUUUUUACUUUUUAACUACAAAGAAAUAUGUUGUUGUCACAUUCUGUUCUCAAAGAUUGACAUCAAUAUCAUGUCAUAGGAAAUAUGGCAUCAAUAUCAUGAUGCAGAACGAGCAAUCGACCAAUAUCAAAGGGGCAUUCAGCAGCAGCAGAGAAUAAUGCGUGGCCUUAUGCAUAAGUUAGGGACUCGCAGACAUAGUGGGGUAAAUUCAGAUGCGGGUGGUCACUCUAGCUAUGCACCAGCCAGCACUCCCACAGCCGAUGACCAUGCAUUUCCUGGUGAUGAGUACAUGGCUUCGCAUGCUGCAUACCAUGUGCUAGACACACCAGAUCGCGUUGUCGCCCCUGAGUAUGAGUUGUAGCCCAGUGUACCCAUUAAUGUAGUAAGCGGUAAGUGAUAAAAAUGAAUGCAAACACCCAUAUGGUUAACAACCCAAGUACCCAAUCAUAAUGUAUACCUUUGCUGACUAGUUCUAAAUCUCAUAUUGCAGAUGGUGAAGAACAACCAGAAGGUAAUGUUGUCCCCACAAAUAGAAACGUCCGGAGACGUCGAGUGCGUCGAAUGGCUCCAAACUUGUUGUCCCCAUACAUAUCCCAACCACAAACGAAACAAUCUGCCAUCAAAAUUGACCUAAAACAAGGAGCUGCACUGGUAUUUGGAGACGAUUUGGAUGCAAGGUAACAUACUUGAGUGACACUCCUCUCAUUGUAUGAUAGUGAAAACACAAAAACUAAAUUGUAUUUUUUUGUAACAGUGAGGAACUAGUGUCUAUGCAUGACACUAUCCUAACCAGAGGCAAUUUGGGCUGCUUCGAAGGGAAUGGGUGGAUAGGAAACGACGUGCAUAUCAUUUCUUAUCCCUCUUUAUGCAUUAUUUUAAGUUUGAAAAUGAAAGUUUCGUUCUAAUAUAAUUUGUUGCUUACACUUUUAUGAUAUACGAAAUCAGGUCGUCGAUGCCUACUGUAGAUUGUUGCAGUAUCAACAUGAACCGAAGUCGAAACUUUUUCUAUCCCCCUACAUAGCUGUAAUGAUGACUAAUCCAUUAAAUCCUUGCUUAUCUUUAUUUUUUGUCUUGAACCAGGCAUCACCUACAAUGACAAACCUGAUAUUAUCCCGUAUUUGACAUGCAGGAAAUGGUAAUCCACUCCCAGGCAAAACACUUAGUGAGGGAGGCAGUUAUUGGACGCUUUGAACCACAUCUGUAUUAGAUUGAUAUUCCAUAUGUCAAUGUUAACGAGGUGGAUUCCUAUGUUUAAUGCUUGGAUUUGUAUUUUUAUUGCAUGAAUGUACAAUAUUUAGAUGUAUGUUUAAUGGUAGUCUAUUGGUGCAGGUCUUCUUACCGGUUCUCAUAAAGAACCAUUGGACAUUGUAUGUAUAUGACCUAGAAAACAGGAGAAUCCAACUGCUAGAUUCUCGUCCUGGUAGAAAGAAGACAAUGUUGAGUGGAGUUCAACAAAAUCUGGUAAAGUAACAAGCAACAAGUAAUAAUUUGUUAGGUAUGUCUUCCCAUAAAAAUUUCAAUUGUUGCGUUAAUAAAUGUUUCAGGCCAAGGUUGUCCUGUGGUUGGCUGCCCACAAAAAAGAGGUAUCACCUUAUGAUUUGAGGACAUUCAAUUUCAUAACACCUGAUGUACCCGUCCAAACUAAUGAGUGAGUGUUAACCUUGCAGUCCGGGAUAUUGUAUAGGAUUGCAAUUUAUUUGAAGUUCAUCUCUUAUUUAUAAUUCCACACUUAAUAACGUUUUGGUAAUUAUAUUGACGUAGGCACGAUUGCGGAGUUUUUGUAAUGAAAUUCAUGGAAUUGUGGUCAGUGGGGGGGUUCUCCAAAUCAAUCGAUGUGGUACAUAGGAGGAAUUAUCUAUGACUAUCUCAUUAUUGUUAAAAUAGUUAGAAAAGCCUAAUUAAUUAAUUUGCUGAUUUGUUGCUAUCAACAUGAAUGAACGCAGGGGAAAUUGAAACAUUACAGGUUGAAGAUCAUGAGGAGUAUGUUGUUCUCAGCACAAAAUGCACACCGAGACCGUGUCCGGAGAGAUUAAAGGGGAUUGUAAUUUGUGAUAAGACUGUAUAAAGUUAGCACAUUUGUAUGUAAUUUAUGGUGGACAAAUGUAGUUAUUUAAUAUUUUUUUUUUUUUGGUGACUAUGCAUGCUAGAGAGGGUUUUGGUGAAUUGGGUGGAAACCUGUUGUUUUUUGUGAUUUGGAGUUGUAAGGGUUUGGGUGAGGAGAAUAGUACUGAUAUCAUGGUUGAGGAGUUUAUUAUUAAGGGAUUGAAAGUAACAUUUUAGGAUUCCUUGCACACCGUUUUAUCCUUUCCGGUUCUUAUUCUACAUUCAUUUUAAAUUAAUUUUAAUCUCAAUUGACUUAAAUUAAGCUAUAAAAUAAUUCUAAUUUAAAUUAAAAUUUAAUUUUACUUUCCCAAGAGAGAAACUCAAAACUCUUGCUAAAGAGAGAUAAAGGGAAAAGCAUAUCAUGAGAUAUGAAUGUAUGGAUUGAACAAACUCCAAGGUAAAGCAAAGAUAGAGAAUUGUCUUCACUUUGAUCGGGGUAUUGUUGCAUGCAACAUGCAUGCCAAGGAUUCUUAUUGAUUUUGGCUCAAAAAAUUCCCCAAAAUGUUACUUUUCUUUUCUCUUAAACCUCCUCAAGAGAUUUUUUUUUUCCCCUUGAAUUUGCAUGUUAACCAAUGGAGAUAUCCAAAAGUUAGACCUACCCAUGAGGAAAAAAAAAAUUAAUACUAUUAAUUUCUUCUUUAAAAAAAAAAUCAUUUUUACUAUUAAUAUUAUAUAAAUCCAUAAUAAUAUGUGUUGAUGCCCAAUUUCGCAUGUUGCGUGUUCUAAUAUGACAUGUUAAUUACCAUAUGACGCUCCAUUUGCAUAAUUCCAUUUGUGUUACCAUGUGUGUUAGGUUGGUAGGUAUGUUUGGCUUAGGUGUUGGCCCCACCUUAGUUGAUGCCUAAACUUAUUCCUAUAUGAUCUAAUUAAUUCGAUAAGACAUUCUUAUUCUGUUAAAAAAAAAGUAAAAAAUUGAAUUUAUUCCCUCUUUAGUGGAUAAAAGGGCAAAGGAUAAAAGGGCAAAGGACCGGAAAGCAUGAAGUGUUCGACCGGUAGAUAUUUUGCGUCAGCCAUUGAUCAACCGGUCAAACAAUUCUUCAGCCGGUCGUGCACACGCUACUGAAUGAGAGAGGGUGGAUUUUGGCACCCUCGAUCGGAGAUAGACCGGUCGAUCAGUUUCGGUCGACCGGUUCCUGGAGGAUUGGACACGCUACUGGAUGAGAGAGGGUGGAUUUUGGCACCCUCGUCCGGCGAUCGACCGAUCGAUCAGUUUCGCUAGACCGGUUCCUGGAGGAUUGGACACGCUACUGGAUGAGAGAGGGUGGAUUUUGGCACCCUCGUCCGGCGAUCGACCGGUCGAUCAGUUUCGCUCGACCGGUUCCUGGAGGAUUGGACACGCUACUGGAUGAGAGAGGGUGGAUUUUGGGACCCUUGUCCGGAGCUCGUCCGGUCGACUAUAUACGGUCGACCGGUUUGCAGGAUACACUUGCAACCUAAAAAAUGCUUUUUUUUUUAUAAAUAUGUAAUAAAAUUUAAAAAUCUUGGGAUCACUCUGAAGCCAUGGUUGUAGAUUGGAAGGUGAUAGUGCUAGUUUUAUUAGCUAGGUUGAGAAUACAUUAGGGUUGCCUCAAUACUCCGGAAUUUGCAAUUAGUUCCACUCGCCUCUGAUGUAUGGCAUAAGUGACAUGGAUAAAUUUUAGAUGAAAGAAGAGCUAUUAAUAAUCAUUUGAAAAUUUUAUGCCCCUCUAGGCAUGGUCCUUUUUCUUUUAUAUUCAAGAUAUUGUGUCUUUCUUUUUCUUCACUUUGACCUUAUUUUCUUUGCUUUUGAUUCCCUUCUUUUGCUGCAAAGGAAAUCUCCUUCAUUUGUAAUUCUUCUAGCUAUCUCAGCGAAUUCCUUCCUUUCAGAAAAAAAUGAUGGCACAAUGAAUGCAGUGAUGAGAAUGAAAAGGAAGUAUUCAUUAUAAAUCAAAAUAAGAGAACAUUACUUUGAAACCCCAAAUUUAGUGAACUAACAGGUUAUUUUGUUAAGAUUACUAUGAAUAGAAGAGAACCUUGUGAAACUAUCAUAAUAUUUUGCAAAGCUUAAAGGAAAAUAAAUAUACCUCCCCAUAACUGGUAUAGCACCAUUGCAAAAGAGAGGUUCUAAUCGUGUCCUGAUCUAGCAUCAGUUUUUCCAACUCCUGCUUCCUACUCUCUUGUGUGUCUGGACUAUAUUCAAAAUCACGAAUCUGAAUCACAUGAAAAAUUGAACAUACAGAUCAUUAGGAAGAGAACUCCAACAAAUUAUAUUGAAUGUGUUAAUUUAUCCUGUUAUAUUCCUGCCUUUUUAAAAUUUUUUUAUAUAUUAAAAAAUUAUUUAUAAUAUUUUUAUUAGAUAAACAUCAUAAAAACACUUGAAAAGUAAUUAUAUUAAAAACAUUUUAAUAAUAAAACAUUAUAUAAUAGUUUUCAAAAAAUGAUUUUUCAAAAACAGUUUUUGAGAAUAAUUUCUAAAAAUCAUUUUUUAAUGUUUGUAAAAUAAAAGUCUAAUUAGAAAUAAAUUAUUUUACAUAUUUGUAAAAUUAAUUUUUAAAUUAGUUUUUAAAAAACAAGUAAAAUAUAUUAUUUAAAAACACUCUCUAUUCUUUCUUAAAAACAAAAAAUAGAAACAAUUUUUUGUUGUCAAAUAGUAUUUUCCUGUUUUUUUUUUAUUUAAAAAAAAUUGUUUUUGAAAACAAUUAUAAAUAGGCUCUAAAUAUUCUAUUAUUAUUAUUAUUAGUAUUAUUUAAUCUACUUUUGCCUUUUUCAGCUUUUUUAGAAUUAUAUAUGCAUUUAAGCUGAAUUUUAUAAUGGGACAGCCACCAAAAAUAUUGGAUGUAAUAUUUAAUUUUGUAGGAAGUCAAAAGUAUAUGAUAUUGAAUAAAAAUUUUCAAAUCCAUCUAAACUUAGAUUAAAAAAAAUUAAAAAAAAUUCACCCUUCUAAAUUAGGAAAACUUCAUUUGAAAGUAUCUUUUAUUAAUAACAAUAGUUCCUGACAGCACAAUGCCUCCAGCAAUUCAUUCACAACCGCUUGAUUUGAUUCCGAAUUGUAAUUUUUUUUUUUAGAUGAGAAAUAAGACACUAGAAAAUAUGUCAAAAAUGAUGUAAAUUUAACCAUCAAUCAAUAAUAAAACCAUAAAUAAUAAUUUUUCUCCUUGAUUUUUUUUUUAAAAAUUUAUUUCUAAGCAUUUCUAAUCCCCCAUUCCAAAAGAAAUCAAUGAUAUUUGUAGGAAACUAAUCCUAAAAAUGUAAAUAAAGUUCUUAAUUAUAUGACAUUUUGAUUUUUUAAAUAAAACUAAGAAUUAUUUAAAUAUAAAAAAAAAAUUUCAAACACAAAGGAAUUAAAUAGGUUUCCUAAAUGUAUAUUUUUUUUUUCCAAUGAACGAAAAAAAAAAAAUGAAUGCAUUAUACCUAUUAAAAAGUGCAAAACACCGUGGAACAUGUUACUGAGUCAACCGGUUCAUAUCCGGUCGGCCGGGGUGACGUUUAAAAAACCAUUCCGCGCUUAAUUUCUUCAGUGUUAUCCUCUGCCAGUCGAAGGGAUCCACCGAUUGAGCUGCCACACACCCACUUUCGACGCGAUUCCAGCUGUUACAAGCCUUCGGAGUGAGUUUUGAGGGGUGCGGCUUCACAUUUCGGACCUAGGGCGUGAGGUUUGGCAGUGGUCCUCCUUCAUCGCGCGUCACAGGCGGUUUGUCUUCUCUUCCCGCGCGCGUCACAGGCUCUUUCAUUGGCGUUGUUUUGACAUAGGUGUGGCCCUUUGUAGUGUUUCAUGGCGCCUAGGAGAGAUAGGGGUGCGUCGAAGGCACUGGGCAAGCGCCCUGCUCAGGCUUCUCAGGACGGUUAGGCGGAGGCUCGCCGAAAGGCGAGGUUCGACACCGGCCUUUUCACUUCGGUCGACAAAUACCAGAGGUACAAGCAGCAUUUCGUCCAGAGGAAGGUGGUUGCAGGGAGAAAUAUAAAUUUCGCCCAUCUACAACAUUUCGGGUUUGAGAGCCUCUUUGCACGCAUGGGGUGGCUGCCCUUAGUGACUAUUUCAGAGCCCAUUUUUCCGACAUUAGUCAGGGCAUUCUAUUCACGCGUCACAUAUGGACAUGGAGGUCUGAUCACUUCGACCGUUAGAGGGGUUCAGAUCCAUCUGGACCCGGAGAGCAUCUGCCGUAUUUUGGACAUUCCUCCUGGUGGACUCCGCGUAUAUGAUGCCAAGGCCUGGCCGACGGUGUCGGGUUUCGAUUCGAGAGAGGCGAUUCAGAGGAUGUGUGGCCUUCCAGAUGCCCCGGGGUUGGGCAAACCAUCGGCACAUAGCCUGACAGUGACCUGCCGAGUCCUUCACCACAUGAUAGCGUACAUCCUCCUACCACGUGGCGGUCAUCGAGAUGAGGUUUCCUAUCUGGAGGCAUUCCUGAUUGAUUCGAUUAUGACAGGGAGACGUAUUGACGUUGGGUAUGUCAUGAUGAUGCACAUGAUGGCAUGCUGCGAGAGGCCCAAACGCAUUCUCCCAUAUGGCCGCUUCAUGACACGAGUGUUCAAGGAUGCGGGGGUGGAUUUGAGCAGGGAGCAGGAGGUCGAGGCGCCCAGCAGUUAUGACACAUAUGAUGAGCAGUCGAUGGCGCGGAUGAAGUUGGAGAAGACCCCAGAUGGGUCAUGGAUUAGGAGGGCGGACCGACCAGUACCCCAGCCACAGGCAGAGGGAGAUGUGCAUCCUGCAGGAGACGAAGAGGAGGAGAUUGGGGACAUGGAGGGUGGGGUACACCCUGAGACCAAUUUUGACCAUAGAGAGCCUGAGUUUGAUAUCCCUCCACGCCAGUCUGAGGGUGGCCACAUUGACCCGACUAUUUCAGAUGUGAUGAUGACUGAGACGGGUUACACAGCGGGACCAUCUGGUCAACCAUCAUUUACUGAGCCUCAUCACACCCAUACAUCACCUGGCCAGGCUCCUGACGCCCCUGAGCAUGCGCCUUGGAUGGAGUUGUCUGCGCAGAUUACCUCACUUGGGACUCGUAUUGAGGAGCGCAUGGAUCAGCAGCAGGCUAUGCAUGAGCAUAUCCUACAGAGGCUUGAUCGCCAAGAGCGUCAGCAUGAGGAGUUGAUGGCGUACCUCCGCGCCGUGUUGCCACCGCCACCCGAUGCACCUUGAUUGCAUUGAGACCACGUCGUUAUUUUGUUUAGCUUGCAAAACUGGGACAUAUAUAUUUUGUAUUAGCAUACGUAUAUUUAGAGUAGUGUCAGCAUGCAAAUGUUUUUUAUUUCGUUUUAAUUUGGAUUCAAUAUAUAUAUAUAUAUAUAUAUUAUGCUAUUUACUUUAUUAUAUGUUGUUUAGUAAUAUUUACAAGAUCGCCAAGUCAUCUCAUCCAUAUUAGGAGGUACUGAACUUUAACCUUCGGCGAAUUACCUAAGUCCAUGAGUAAGCAAUGAACAACUCAUCAACUUGGAAGGAGUUAGACCUUUUAUGCAAUUUAUCACGCACCCAAAUGUAUAAUGUAAGUGAAGUAGACUUGAAUGUUCAAAAUAAUUAAGACACAUAAAUAUAAUAGUAAAGGGUUACCAAAAUCAUAAAUAUAAAUGAAAUAAUAUAUUGUUUCAUAAUGUCAUGUUUUUCAAGGCUCCAUUGUAAUGAUGUAUUAGAUAAGUUUGAACUAAUCCCACAUUACCAAUAUUAGUCAUGUCAUUGCAUUGUUUAACAAGUUGAUUUUAUUAGAACAUCCAAUAUAAGAAAAAAUAUUUCAUUCUCUCAUGAAAUGUGAGUUCUCAAAAUAGUUUUACAACUGAUAAAAUUUUUGAAUUAAUUAAUUUGAAAAAAAUUAACAUAUUUUCAUAUUUUGUGUCUCUUUUAAUAGCGAGAUGGCAUAAAAUUUUGGAAUUAAUCAGGUCGACCGGUUUCCAGCGACCGGUCUACAUUAGGUAACCGCAGUUGAUAUGAAGGAAACUUUGCAACAACCGGUCGACCGGCUAUCAUAGUCCGGUCGACCGGUUACCUGUAUUACUCUUUAAUUAGUAAGUAAAAAUUCUUCCUUUGGUACUCGUACAACUCAACUAAGCUUUUCCUAGAUACUUGCAGUUGGCUCUGUAUUCUUUUUUGACUUCACGAAACACGGUCAUAAAGGUUUGUGGGCCUUGGUACUGGUUGUUUGAAGGAUUAAUUAAACACGUCGUUGAUUUUUAUCCUUGUAAAAAUGGAAAAAAAAAAAAAAAAAGGACUAAGAGGCUCCUAACCAAACCGAUAGAACAUCUUAGCAUGAAUAAAUAAAUAAAUCAGUUGAUCCAUUUGGUCAUUGCUCUAUGGAAGGCUAUCGGCAUGUGGAUCUACACGUAUACAUUUUAGCCUUUUCAUACCAAUCCUUGUAUUAUUGUCUCUUGAUAAGAUGGAGGAAAAGGGAAAAAAUUUCAAAAUUGAUUUUCUCUUCCUUUUCUCAAGAUCCAAACAUGUUCUAGGAAUCUUACAUCUCAGGAAUUAAAAGUUACCCCACCCACUCAGCACUGAAUCCACACAUUCAUGAAACACCUCUAAAUGACUUGACAAGUUGCAAUUGAUCGAUGACUGAUUACUUCUUAAAUGUAUGUUUUUGGUUUUACUUGGAAUCUAAUCUAUAUGCCUGUUACUUUCGAAGGUAAAUACAUGAAUGGAACCACUCUUGCAGUUGAUGGAGGACUUUGGCUGAGCCGACCUCGCCAUUUACCAAAAGAGGCAGUGAAGCAGCUCUCUAGAGCAGUGGAAAAGAGGUCCAGAGGUGUUCCUGUUGGGGUUCCAAAGAGCAAGCUAUUGCAUGUUCAAUCAAGGUAUGAUAUCUCUGGAUCCAAUGAUGAACCUACAACCGAUAUCAUUCAACUGUUCAGACUUCUACACAUUAAGCUCGGUUAAUAACCAAGCUUAAUGAAGGUAUUUUUCUGGGUCUGAGACUCUUCUACCCGGUCCUACAAUUAAUAAUGUACAAUGAUGUCAAAAGGGGUUUGAUCACCAUACGGAUAACUGAAUUCGGUAAUGUAUUCAUGCAUUUUAAGAUCUUUAAUAGACUUGCUAUUGUCCUAGCCUAAACAUCUUAUUACUUGAUGUAUUAUGUUCUAUAUAGCCUAAACAUCAUAUUACUUGAUGUAUUAUAUUUGUUUUAAAAGUUUAAAUCUAAUUAAAAUUAGUGAAAAUAUAUUCAUUUUUUAAUUAUUUACCUUAUGUUUGGUUAUUUGAAAAUUGAAGGGAAAAAAAAAAUCCAACAUGAAAGGAAAUAACCAUAUUUUCAAAAAACAGUCUUCAAUUAAAAAAUUGACAAAGUUGUUUUUGAAGUUGAAAAACUAUUUUCUAUUUUUUAGAAUUUUGUUUUUCAAAACAGUUUUCAAAUUGACUUUAAAACCCUAUUUGUUAAUUGUUUUCAAAACCAAUUUUUUAUUUUCUAGGAAAAAAAAUUGACAAUGAAUAAAUAAUUUUCUACUCUUAGAUUUUUAAAGAUAGAAAAUUUAUAAAUAAUAUAUUUUAAUUGUUUUUACUUGUUUUUUAAAUAUUAUUAUAUAAAUAUAAAAAAUAUUAAAAAUAAAACAUUACAUAUAAAUUUUAUUUUUAAAAUAUAUUUAAAAUUUAAAAAAAACAAAAAAAAAACAGUUAAAAACAUUUCAAGUUAUCAAACAAAAUGUUUUACAAAACAUUAAAAAACAUUUUCAGAAACUCCUGGUGUUUCCUAUUUGGACUUCUGUAUUGAUCACUUCAACAGGGAUGGGUUCCAUAGAACUCGAGAUUUCACAAUUUUUAUAUGUUCUGCAGAUUAAUACAUUAAUGGGAAAAAUUAUUUUCAUUACAGAUUUCUCUGUACACAAAGACAGAUCGACCCUUCUUAUAACUUCAAUUUCAUUGUACAGAAACAUCAAAACAGUAAUAAAUAUGCCAACAAAACUGUUGUAAAGCACAUUCCUAAGCCUUAUCUCAAGAUACAAUCCUGCUGCAUUUCACCCUUAUACUCAAGAGUCAGCUGACAAUAUUCAAUAGCUUCAACAUCUAAGAACCAGAGCAUUGGUGUCAACAACCGGGUUUCUUUCUUCUCCCAGGAGCCCGAAUCAAUGUCUAGCUUGGACUCAGAUAGAGGGCAGCCAAACUAGGAUCAAAGACAACAUGCUAGGAACUGAGAACCCUGCGUCGUUCGGUUAACACUUUUAACAUCUGUGGAGUGGAGCAGGAUAUAGGUCCAGUGGCUGAUAUCUCACCCGAUCGUUGUGAGGCAAGGGUCCCUCCUGAAGAAAUUGCAAGGAAAUAGAAGUUUAUUACCAUCACUACUAACAAUAGAGCCAAACUCCAUGGAAGAAGGUUUCAGAAACAUAAACAAGCACCAUGCAAAGUGAGAAAACAUACAGGAUCCUGAUUUAAGUAAAAACUUGAUUCCACAUCAGAAAUUGAUGAAAAUAUAACAAGAAUAACAGGCUUGGAGACACUAUAUAAGUCAUCCAAUCAGGCAGGGAUGGUUUCUGUCUAACUUUUAAAGAAAAUGUGGAUUGUCCAAACACUGAUGUUGAGAGGUACUAAAUGGAAAUUGGUGAAGGAUGGGCAUAUACUAUUCAUAACACUGACAAUUCCAAAGUAUGUGCCUGUUCACCUUCAAACCACUCAUUGCAAUUUCUUCUGUCUCUUCAAUGUACUGCAUCAAUACCAAAUGUCACUACUGGCAUAUUACAAUGGAAAAAGCAAUGCCAAAGGGACUGUAAUGUAAGCCUCCUUAUGUAUCAUUUUACAUUUUCCUUUUUGUUACAACUUACAAUUGGUUGCAACUGGAAUAAUUUUUAUGGUUUGAUUUAGAUGAUCAUUCAGACUAAAAUAAUGGAUGUCAUUCUGUUCAUUUGUUCAAUGAAAACCUGGCAAAAUGACCCAAUUUGCUGGGCUAUUAGGCGAUACCAAAGACAAAGCAUUUAUCCUUCCUUUUCCAUGCUGACACAUGUUAUAGAUAUAGGGAUUAGGCAUAUGUCCAUAAUCAUGCAUGGUUGCAAGUUUCUUUAGGUCACAGCAUCGAACAAGUCAGCAGGCAUUGAGACCCAUGAUUGUCUCUGUCAUAUUGAACACACCCAUAUAUGAAUGGAAGAAAGUAUACAUACCCUUGUUAAUUCUCGACUGAACAGCUCAGAUACUUCAAGUGUCAUGUUGGCAAGAAUCACAAAAGGGUCAUCCCACUAAGAUGAAGAAUGUUAUGUAAUGAGUUAACAACAAAGAUAUAUGUAGAAAAUAAUCUACUAAGCAUUAAGAAAAACCAUGUAAUGGGUUAGUUGCUCUGGGUCACUUUAAUACCUGCUCUUGAAGUAAUAAUGAUACUACAGAUCCUUAACAGGGCUUUGAAAAUCAUAACAAUGUGUCCAAAUAAAGUGCAAAUCAUAAAGGUAAAACAAGUCUCAUGGAAUGAGCAUUACUAGAUUUGAAUUCCAUGUCCAAAGAAUUUUCCUAAGCCUUGCUUCCAACUCAUCUCAAGGGCGAGGUUUAGGAGCCUUAAGUCUACUGAUAGACAGCCAAGUUCAAAAUGCAACUGUCUUCACUUCUAUUAUAAAUUUCCUCCUUUUAUUUGUAGACAUCAAUUAAAUUGCAACUGUCUUCACUUCUAUUUCCAGGGAAGCUAAUAGGAUGAAUAAACAUGGUAGACAUCAAUUAAAUUGCAUGCAAUGCGUGUGUUAUCAAGCAACAUGUGUGAGGAUUGUUCCCCAUGUUUGGAAAAAGUAAGAUAGACACCCUUGUACACCCUUGUACUUUUAGUACAUUGGCCUUGUACACUUAGUGUAAAUGCCUUGUCCAGUCACCAAAUCCAUAAUAGGUACAUAUUUCCAAGUGAAUAUGGGUGGGUAACCAAUGUUUCCAUUACCAUGGAAUAGGGAAAAUGACACAAAAGGUUACCCUAAUUUCGGUACAUAUUCAUCAUUACUAGGGAAGCUAANNNNNNNNNNNNNNNNNNNNNNNNNNNNNNNNNNNNNNNNNNNNNNNNNNNNNNNNNNNNNNNNNNNNNNNNNNNNNNNNNNNNNNNNNNNNNNNNNNNNNNNNNNNNNNNNNNNNNNNNNNNNNNNNNNNNNNNNNNNNNNNNNNNNNNNNNNNNNNNNNNNNNNNNNNNNNNNNNNNNNNNNNNNNNNNNNNNUAGGGAAAAUGACACAAAAGGUUACCCUAAUUUCGGUACAUAUCAUCAUUACUAGGGAAGCUAAUAGGAUGAAUGAACAUGGUAGACAUCAAUUAAAUUGCAUGCAAUGCGUGUGUUAUCAAGCAACAUGUGUGAGGAUUGUUCCCACGUUUGGAAAAAGUAAGAUAGACACCCUUGUACUUUUAGUACAUUGGCCUUGUACACUUAGUGUAAAUGCCUUGUCCAGUCACCAAAUCCCUAAUAGGUACAUAUUUCCAAGUGAAUAUGGGUGGGUAACCAAUGUGUCUAUUACCAUGGACUAGGGAAAAUGACACAAAAGGUUACCCUAAUUUCGGUACAUAUUCAUCAUUACUAGGGAAGCUAAUAGGAUGAAUGAACAUGGUAGACAUCAAUUAAAUUGCAUGCAAUGCGUGUGUUAUCAAGCAACAUGUGUGAGGAUUGUUCCCCACGUUUGGAAAAAGUAAGAUAGACACCCUUGUACUUUUAGUACAUUGGCCUUGUACACUUAGUGUAAAUGCCUUGUCCAGUCACCAAAUCCCUAAUAGGUACAUAUUUCCAAGUGAAUAUGGGUGGGUAACCAAUGUUUCCAUUACCAUGGACUAGGGAAAAUGACACAAAAGGUUACCCUAAUUUCGGUACAUAUUCAUCAUUACUAGGGAAACUAAUAGGAUGAAUGAACAUGGUAGACAUCAAUUAAAUUGCAUGCAAUACGUGUGUUAUCAAGCAACAUGUGUGAGGAUUGUUCCCCACGUUUAGAAAAAGUAAGAUAGACACCCUUGUACACCCUUGUACUUUUAGUACAUUGGCCUUGUACACUUAGUGUAAAUGCCUUGUCCAGUCACCAAAUCCCUAAUAGGUACAUAUUUCCAAGUGAAUAUGGGUGGGUAACCAAUGUUUCCAUUACCAUGGACUAGGGAAAAUGACACAAAAGGUUACCCUAAUUUCGGUACAUAUUCAUCAUUACUAGGGAAGCUAAUAGGAUGAAUGAACAUGGUAGACAUCAAUUAAAUUGCAUGCAAUGCGUGUGUUAUCAAGCAACAUGUGUGAGGAUUGUUCCCCACGUUUGGAAAAAGUAAGAUAGACACCCUUGUACUUUUAGUACAUUGGCCUUGUACACUUAGUGUAAAUGCCUUGUCCAGUCACCAAAUCCCUAAUAGGUACAUAUUUCCAAGUGAAUAUGGGUGGGUAACCAAUGUGUCUAUUACCAUGGACUAGGGAAAAUGACACAAAAGGUUACCCUAAUUUCGGUACAUAUUCAUCAUUACUAGGGAAGCUAAUAGGAUGAAUGAACAUGGUAGACAUCAAUUAAAUUGCAUGCAAUGCGUGUGUUAUCAAGCAACAUGUGUGAGGAUUGUUCCCCACGUUUGGAAAAAGUAAGAUAGACACCCUUGUACUUUUAGUACAUUGGCCUUGUACACUUAGUGUAAAUGCUUGUCAGUCACCAAAUCCUAUAGUANNNNNNNNNNNNNNNNNNNNNNNNNNNNNNNNNNNNNNNNNNNNNNNNNNNNNNNNNNNNNNNNNNNNNNNNNNNNNNNNNNNNNNNNNNNNNNNNNNNNCUUCUUUUUCCAAAAAGUAAGAUAGACACCCUUGUACACCCUUGUACUUUUAGUACAUUGGCCUUGUACACUUAGUGUAAAUGCCUUGUCCAGUCACCAAAUCCCUAAUAGGUACAUAUUUUCAAGUGAAUAUGGGUGGGUAACCAAUGUUUCCAUUACCAUGGACUAGGGAAAAUGACACAAAAGGUUACCCUAAUUUCGGUUCAUAUUCAUCAUUACUAGGGAAGCUAAUAGGAUGAAUGAACAUGGUAGACAUCAAUUAAAUUGUAUGCAAUGCGUGUGUUAUCAAGCAACAUGUGUGAGGAUUGUUCCCCACGUUUGGAAAAAGUAAGAUACACACCCUUGUACACCCUUGUACUUUUAGUACAUUGGCCUUGUACACUUAGUUUAAAUGCCUUGUACACUUGCAGAAAUUCCACAUAGAUACAACAGAACUAGUGCAUAUGGCCAGGUUAACCACGUUUCAAUGUCAUGACUCACUAAAAAGGGGAAAAAUGACACCAAAUCGAGGUUCCUAUUCAUCAUAAGCGCGCUAUCUCAUCCAAUGAAUGUGUACGAAGGGAAAUGAGGAAUGUCCCCCUUGGAAAAAAAUAAGUGAGCAAGCAAUUUUUUCAAAAGCAUUUGAAAUCCUUCAAGAUAGACACCCUUGUACACACUUGUACAGUUAACACAUUUGCUUUGUACACUUAGUGUAAAUGCCUUGUCCAGUCACCAAAUCCCUAAUAGGUACAUAUUUUCAAGUGAAUAUGGGUGGGUAACCAAUGUUUCCAUUACCAUGGACUAGGGAAAAUGACACAAAAGGUUACCCUAAUUUCGGUUCAUAUUCAUCAUUACUAGGGAAGCUAAUAGGAUGAAUGAACAUGGUAGACAUCAAUUAAAUUGCAUGCAAUGCGUGUGUUAUCAAGCAACAUGUGUGAGGAUUGUUCCCCACGUUUGGAAAAAGUAAGAUACACACUCUUGUACACCCUUGUACUUUUAGUACAUUGGCCUUGUACACUUAGUUUAAAUGCCUUGUACACUUGCAGAAAUUCCACAUAGAUACAACAGAACUAGUGCAUAUGGCCAGGUUAACCACGUUUCAAUGUCAUGGCUCACUGAAAAGGGGAAAAAUGACACCAAAUCGAGGUUCUUAUUCAUUAUAAGCGCGCUAUCUCAUCCAAUGAAUGUUUAGAAAUGUAAAUGAGGAAUGUCUAUGAGGAAUGUCUAUGAGGAAUGUCACCCUUAGAAAAAUAAAAUGAGCAAGCAAUUUAUUCAAAACCAUUUGAAAUCCUUCAACAUAUGUAGCAUUGUACACACUUGUACAGUUACCACAUUUGCAUUGUACACUUAGUGUAAAUGUCUUAUACAAUGCCAAAAAUUUGACAUACCUAAAACUAAUAGCGUGCAUAUGGGUGAGCUACCAUGUUCCAAUGUGAUGCCUAAGGGAAAAUGGGGAAGGGAAAAGGGGGAAGUGAAACCCAAUAUAGGUUCUUAUUCAUCAUUAUUGUCGUUGGUCAUCCAAUCAACAUGUAUGAAGUAAUAAAAUUGAAGGGGAUCAGUGCGUGAUCAAGGAAUGUGUGUGAGGGAAUGUUCCUCAUCCUUUCAAAAUGGAAAUGAUUUUAAAACAUUGCAAAUACUUCAACAUAGGUACAUUUGUACACCCUUGUACAUUAAGCACAGGUACCUUGUACACUUAGUGUAAAUGUCUUGUACACAGACAUAAAUUCCAUACAACCACUACUGAAUGUAUACUCAUGCAUAGGUUAAUCAUGAUUGCAAUCUUUUGGUUAAUAAAAUAAGGAAAAACUGAAGUCUCAAUUUGUUCCCUAUACUUUUGUAACAAUACAAGGAAAUUAAAUAAUAGCAAUUUGUCCAUUAAUGUGAAGUUAUUCGAAGUUAAUUCCAACUUUCUAGCUAGAAUUCAAAAGAAGAUUAUAUGUUAAGCAUGGCAAAUUAUUAUUCAAACAUAUAUUUUAUUCAGUAAAAAGCAUGCCUAAAGAUGGGUUCCAUUCAACUAGUGAACAGCUUUUUAAACAUCACAUGUGGCACCAGGCCUAACAAUUGUCUACAAUUUACGAGGAAACUCUGAAGAAGACCAAAAUGCUUCUAACUGUGGCUCACUUUUAGAGUACUCACCAUUUUCUCAUCCAACCAAUUCUUCAGAGCCAAACAGGGAGACAUUAUUUUCUUCUGUCCGCAAUUCUCCUUCUUAUCCAUUCUCUCCUAAUCCAGAAUUUUCAUUUCUAAACCUGCUUCAAUUUAAUGCCAAUGAUUAGCAAUUUCAAGCUUCCUGUUUAUUCCCAUAAACACUAAAUAUUUCCAAUUAAAAUUACAUGAGAUAAAUGUGGAUGACAUUUACACCAAACUAAUUGGGCACAAAUUAAUUUUUUAAUUCAUUUUUUGCAAGAAUAUACAUUGCUCAAUGAAAUAAGAAUUGUUUCAGAUACUAAUAAAAAAAAGGAGAAAGGAAAAGUUGGGUCGAGUGGCCUAAGACAAGAAAAAUAUUCAAAAAGAAAAUUUAGGANNNNNNNNNNNNNNNNNNNNNNNNNNNNNNNNNNNNNNNNNNNNNNNNNNNNNNNNNNNNNNNNNNNNNNNNNNNNNNNNNNNNNNNNNNNNNNNNNNNNUUUUUUUCCCAAAAACAAAAAAAUUUCCCAAUUAAAAUUCCCGGAAAAAAAGGGGGGACAACUUCCCCCCAAAAAAAUGGGGCAAAAAUUAUUUUUUUAUUUUUUUUUUUCAAAAAAAUACCCUUUUCCAAAAAAAAAAAAAUUUUUUCCGUUUUUUAAAAAAAAAAAAAGAAAAAGAAAAAUUUGGGGAAGGGGGGUUAAACCAAAAAAAAUUUUAAAAAAAAAAAUUUGGGAAUUCAACCAAAAAUUUUAAAAAAAAAAACAACCCCUUUUUUUUUUUUUUUUAAAGGAAAAUUAAAAAAUUCCCAAAUGGGGGGGGUUCUUUUUGGCUUCCCAAUUUGGGGGGGUUUUUUUCCCCCCCCCUUUUUUCUUUUUUAAACCAAAAAAAUUGGCCCAAAAUUUUAUUUCCUUUUUAAAGGAUUUUUUUGGGAAAACCCGGGGGGGGGUUUAUUUUACCCCCCCCCCCCCCCCCCCCCCCGCUAACAUUCUCAAUCCCAGUAAAUUUCCAACCUUCACUGCUGAAAGAAAGGACCUCUCACCUACCUAAUCUAUACCCAGAAACCAAUAGAAAAUGACAGGGAUUAAUUGUUACCAAUAUAAAAUUCUGGGUUUAGUGUGAAAGGGGGAGAAAGAGGACAAUUUUUCAAGUUGGAUCAGCAAACCAAUGUUCUGAGUACAUUCAACACAUAGAGCAUAUGCCAAACACAGCAACAAUUAUUAUUUUUUUUUUUGUUUUUUGGCAAUCCAAUAGAAAUACGGAACUUAAAUUCUAGAAGUGAAAAAAUGGAAGAAUGCAAAACAAUCUCAGAAUAGGGAAUGGAUAUUAAGCUGCUUCCUUGAGCUUCUUUGUGAUGCCAGCAAUGUACUUCCCCUGGUGGAAACCUUGCUCCAAUUCAAGCUCAGAUGGUUGUCUUGAGCCGUCCCCAGCGUAAGUUCCUGCACCGUAGGGACUCCCACCUUUCACCUUCUCCAUCUCAAACGCUCCCAUUUAUUCUCUCUGGACGAUGAUGAUAAAAUACCUACAAACGCCUCAACCUGAUAAAAUCAAAAUAUCAGCAAAUAAUUCAGACCCCCAUCAUUUGGAUUUGGGAAUGAUCGUUGAUAAAAUACCUACAAAAGCUUUUCUGAAAUCCUCACAAUCCUUGGCUGCUGAAGAAAGCGAUUGGGGGACAGUUAAGGUCGGCAUCGUUUGUGCGUAUGUUGUUUACAGAGGGAGAGAAAAUGGUAGGAAGAUUCAGAAUUUCACUCUGGUGACAUGACAUUUCACAUUUACCAGCUGUGAAACCCAUUAUUUUACAACAAUUUGAGUUGGAAAUGUAAAUGGCAUUUUCAUCUGUUAACAUUUCAUAUCCUUAUCAUUAAUUAGGUCAGUUAGAUGGACCAUUUCUUAAUUUUUGUUGGGCCCAAAACACAAUUUUCCCAAUAAGUUUUCUAAUUUGCGGUGAAGGCACGGCAAGGGCAGGUGUUUAUCUAUGAUUUGAAAAGAAGAUUCGAGAAAGUAGCUUGGGGAACACGCAAAGAAGAUAAGUCUACGCACGUCAAGAUAGACUUUCCCCAAGGCCAAGCCUACCUCUACAACUAUAAAUAUUAAAUAUUUCCUAACCCCUCUCAUCUCAUCAUUCCAAUAGUUUCUGCUAUCUCUGAAAAGCGCUCUUCGUUUCCGUGCUUGUUCAUCAACCAUUCCCUUUCAAGGUUUGUUUUCUUUUCCGUUUCUUUUAUUUUGCCUUUUAUUAUUCUUUCGAUUCAAGAUCCAUUCUUGAUUGACUUUUUGUGUUUUGUGUGAAUUUGUGUUUGUUUGGUUGCUUUUUGGUAUGAAUGUUUCUGUAAUUACCUGGAACAAAGAUACAAAGCCAAGAUUUUGAAUUUUAAAUCAAAUCGCUUUACCAAGGAGAGAUGCUUGGAAUCCACGCGAUUUGAAUUCCAAGUUAAGCCUCAAUUUAUUCGAAUGCUUGUUUUGGACGUAUCGAUCUUGGUCUUAUUAUAUGAUGAUUUUGCUCUAACCCUAAAUGAAAAGGGCUUUGUUAAUUUUAGGGUUUUUUUUUUCCAAUAUUAAUAUGAUUAUGCUUCUGUUUACAAAUAUAGAUGUAGAUUUGAGAAGAAAAUAUUUGUUUCAUUUUGGGGGAGAUUGUUUCCAAUGCUAAAGAACCAAAAAAAAAAAAAAAAAAACCCAUUUGCAAGGGGGUUUGGCAAAUAAUCUAUUGCAUGAAAUGUAGAAUUCUAACACUUGGGUUAUUUUUGUUUUUUGGGAAAAUAUACAUCGAGUGAGAUUAGAAUUGCGGCACUUUGGUAUUUUUUUCUCCUUUUUUUCCUUUCUCCCCAUUUUUGGUGGAUAGAUUCUUGCCCCAAAGUUAAUUUGAGUCUUGAUAACAUCUUCUAAUGUUUAUAGAAUGCUUCUUAUUAUCUCCUUUUUUUUCCCUUCCCCUAGAAUCCUGAUCCCAAAUCCACUUUGGACUUGAGUAGAAUGAAAUUGGAGUAGGAGUCUCUUUCUACAUCUGCACCAACUAAGCUACUAUAUCCAAUUUCUCCCCUGUUUUACUUCACUUAAAAAUCUACUUUGGACUGACUUUCAUUGAUGUAUUUUUAUUUUUAUUUUUAACACCAUUACCGAAAUGGUAUUAUUCUUUGCGGUUUGAUUUAGGACUCAAUUCCAAGUGUAAAACCCAUUUUCAGAUUAUUUAGGAAAUAACCCUUGCAACUUUUAUCAUUUUGUUGUUUUAGCUUAUAACUCAUCACAUUUUCUUGUGGCAUGGCUUAUUGUUGAAAUUUCUCCCUUAGGAUGUUGCCUAUCUUCCUAUGUAACAUAACAGAUGCAGAUCUUUGCUUGAGGCUUGAUUAGUGACAACAUCUUCUAAUAUUUAUUGGAUACUUCUUAUUAACUCCUCUUUUUUUAAACCCUGGAACCCUGGUCUCAAAUCCACUUUGGACUUGAGUAGAACAGCAAGUGUAGGAGGAGUCACAUUCUGCACCUGCACCAACUAAGCUUCUAUUUUCUAAUUUCUCCCUUGUUUUACUGCACUUAAAUCUACUUUGGUCUUAUCUUCACAUAUUUCUUUUAACAUUAUUUUUGCGGUUUGAUAUGGGACUGAAUUCCAAAUAUAAAACCCAUUUCUUCAUCCAUAGGAUGUUGUCAUUAACCCAUCUUCCUAUUGUAACAUAACAGAUGCAGAUCUUUGUUAAGACCCUUACUGGGAAGACUAUAACCCUUGAAGUGGAAAGUUCUGAUACCAUUGACAAUGUUAAGGCGAAAAUCCAAGACAAGGAGGGUAUCCCCCCUGACCAGCAAAGGUUGAUUUUUGCUGGAAAGCAGCUUGAGGAUGGCAGGACUUUGGCAGAUUAUAACAUUCAGAAAGAGUCCACACUCCACCUCGUCCUUCGAUUGAGAGGUGGAAUGCAAAUAUUUGUUAAGACACUCACUGGAAAGACCAUCACCCUUGAAGUUGAGAGCUCUGAUACGAUUGACAAUGUAAAGGCGAAAAUCCAAGACAAGGAAGGAAUCCCCCCUGAUCAGCAAAGGUUGAUUUUUGCUGGAAAGCAGCUUGAGGAUGGCAGGACUUUGGCCGAUUAUAACAUUCAGAAAGAGUCCACACUCCACCUGGUCCUCCGUUUGAGAGGUGGAAUGCAAAUCUUUGUUAAGACACUCACUGGAAAAACCAUCACCCUUGAAGUAGAGAGUUCUGACACGAUUGACAAUGUAAAGGCAAAAAUCCAAGACAAGGAGGGAAUCCCCCCAGACCAGCAGAGGCUCAUCUUUGCUGGUAAACAGCUUGAGGAUGGUCGGACCUUGGCAGAUUACAACAUUCAGAAAGAGUCCACCCUUCAUUUGGUUCUCCGGCUGAGAGGUGGAAUGCAAAUAUUUGUAAAGACGCUGACCGGGAAGACCAUCACUCUUGAGGUGGAGAGCUCUGACACAAUCGACAAUGUGAAGGCGAAGAUCCAAGACAAGGAGGGUAUCCCCCCAGAUCAGCAGAGGCUCAUCUUUGCUGGUAAACAGCUUGAGGAUGGAAGGACUCUGGCUGAUUACAACAUACAAAAGGAAUCCACCCUUCACCUGGUUCUUCGCCUUCGUGGAGGUAUGCAGAUAUUUGUGAAGACCCUGACGGGAAAGACGAUCACACUAGAGGUGGAGAGCUCAGACACCAUAGAUAAUGUGAAGGCCAAAAUUCAGGACAAGGAGGGGAUCCCUCCAGAUCAGCAGAGGCUGAUCUUUGCAGGGAAGCAGUUGGAGGAUGGUCGGACACUUGCUGAUUACAACAUUCAGAAGGAGUCCACUCUUCACUUGGUCCUUCGUCUUCGUGGGGGGUCUGGGUUCUGAUAUUUGGUUGUGGUCAUUCCUGUGUGUCUUUUGGGAUAUGUUUGAUGUCUUAUAGUGUGUGGAUGCAGUUCAGUUGCUUCUGGCUGCUGAUUGAAAUAAAGAGUGGAUGACAUAUUAGUACCUAAACCACUUGGUUAACUGCUGGUAUGGAUUAUAAAUCUAUGCUUUCAAAUGAUGUGGACAUCUCUUCUAUAUAUUUGAUGGUUGAUUAGAAACUAAAUAGAGUAUAUUACUAAAAUUCCCUCUACAGUUGAUGUUUUUAUUAGGAAUGUUUUUUUCAAGAGAAUCAUUUGGUGAUUAGAUAUAAACUAAAAAUAUGUCUAAAAAAUGUGUUUCCAUAAUAUUUAUUUCUGGUUAGAUUUUGUGUAACGAAAAAGUGAUUGUUUAAGAAUUCAUGAAAAGAGGGGUGAUCCUAAACUUAGGCCCCCUCCCAAAAGGCAAAGGUAUCACAAACCAUUUUAUUUAUCAAUCAAAGGCCUAAUACAAAAGAUAGUAUCUUAUAAGCCAACAACCUGCCCCUGCUUAGAUUUGGUUAAAAAUGAAACUGUGGGGCAUUUGUGAGGAUUUUAAAAAAGUUAAAGAGUAAUUUUAAAAAGUGUUUAGUAGAAUAUGAAAAUCUUUAAAAUAAUCCCAAAUCUAUGGCAAUUUUGAAAUUGCGAGACAAAUUUAAUCCUUAAAUUGACAACUUUCAAUCGAUAUUUUAAAAAAUGUUAGAGAUUUGGAGAUACUUUUGAAGCUAUCAUAUCUUAAUAAAUAUUAAAAAAAUGAUACUUUAAUAUAAAAAAAUUGCAUUUGUGCCUUAACUCUGUAUUUAAAUAAAUAUUUUUAGAACAUGACCGGAAUUAGAAAAAUUAUUGAUUCACGAUUGAUUGGUUUAUGGUUCACUGGUUGGAUUACAAUCAAAAUGUGAUCAACUUUCGAACAUCAUAAAUAUAUAUUUUAUAUAUUAUUAAAAUUUAAAAAUUUAAUAAAUAAAAAUAAUAAAUUCUAUUUGCACUAAAUAAAAUAUGAAAAUGAUUCAAAUUUUAAUUAUAAUAAAUAAGUCCACAAAAAUCUCAAUAAAUUAAAAUUUUAAUAAUUUCAAUAAAUUAAAAUUUUAAUGUGUAAUAAAUAAUCAAAAAAUGAAAAAAUUAUAAAUAUUAAAUAUUAAACAUAAAAUUAAGACAUUAAAUAUAAAAGAUAAAAAUUAAAUUUAAAAAUGGAAGUUUAAGAUUUGAGAUUUCAUCCGCUUGGGCAAUAGGAAGGCGUGUCGACAAGUGUUGGUCGUUUUUGGUGGGUUGGGGUCGGGGAAAGAUUGGUUUUGGUGGUGGGGGAGGGGAAUGACUGGUUUGCUUUGGACCUUUGGUUGGGGGAGGUUUGUCGGCAGGCGUCGGCGGCUGCUGCUAGAGCUGGGGCCACGCGGGGGUGGGGAGGAAAUUGGUUGAAUCGUCCAGUUGGAUUUUGUUUCAAUUAUUUUUUGGUCCAAUUCACUAAAUUAGACCAAAAUCGUGACUAAUAGCUCUGAUCCGAUUUUUAAAACCAUUAUUAAAUAAGGGAUUUUGAUAAAAAUACAAUAUUUUAAAAUCUAUGAUAUUUUUAAGAAAUCCUAUAAAUUGGAGAGACAAUUUUAAUUGAGUUUGAAAUUAUCUUUUGAAAAAGAUAACUCUAUAUCUAAACUGAAGUUGUCUUUCAAAAGACAAAUUUUAAUUGAUGUUAUAAAGUGUGUCUAUUUAAAAAUAUUUUUAAAAUUGCUAUAUAUAUAUAUAUAUAUAUAUAUAUAUAUAUAUAUAUAUAUAUAUAUAUAUAUAUUUUUUUUUUUUUUUUUUUCAAAAAUACCUUAAAUAAAAAAAUGUCUAACCCUUUUCUUACCCAAUCCCUAGGUAGGCUAAGACAAUUACCAACUUUAAAUUGAGUUAGAGUAGGUCAUGACACAAAUAAACCAUAAUUCUAUAAAUUCCUUUAUUCAAAUUUGCUUGUUUCCAAAGAAACUAAAGGAAAAUUAAGGGAAAAAAAUACACACAAACAAACAAUAAAUAUAUAAAUAAAUAAAACAUAUUAAAUUACAAAAGAAUUCCAUAAAUUUGAAAAUUUAAAAGAGGGAGGGAAAAAAAUACUAAAAAAUCUAUAGCCUAAUGAUUUAAAAGAAAAAAACUAAGAAAUCUAAUGUUGUACAUUUAAUAUAUGUUUACCAAUAGCUAAGUGCACUUCACCAAUGAUAAAGGCUUACCAUAAACUCUUCUUGUCCUUUAUUAAAGCUCACAAAUAGUGAACCAUGAUAAGUCUUUUGGAAGAUAAUACGGUUUCUUCAUAAAAAAUUAUAUAUCAGAAUACACAACAGCAAAUAAAUAAGACUCCUAGCACCACAAGAUCCUAACUAACUUAUGGGAGAUAAAAAAAAUUCUUAACAAUUCAAGUUUGUUACUAAGAUUUUAUUGAACAUAAAAGCAUAAAAAUCUUAACUAUCUUAACUAUCUUUGACACUCUCCUCAAGUUGGUGCGUAGAUAUUGAUCAUGCUCAACUUGCUAAUAAGAAGCUUGAAGUUUGGUUGAAACAAUCCUUUUGUUAAAAUAUCUAUGGUUUGCUUCAUGGUAGGAAGAAAUGACAUGCAAAUAACUCCUACCUCAAGUUUCUUUUUUAUGACGCUUCUAUUGAUCUUGAUGUGCUUGGUUCUAUUGUAUUGCACAUGGUUGUGGGCGAUGUUUAUUGUUGCUUUAUUGUUACAAUACAACUUCAUAGGCAUAUUUACUUGAUUCUUCAAUUCCUUGAGUACUCGUUGCAACCACAACAUUUCCGAACUCCAUUAGCCAUUGCUCUGUACUCCACCCUUACGCUGCUUCGAGUUACAACAUUUUUCUUUUUGCUUCUCCAUGUGAUAAGGUUUGCCCACACAUAAGUGCAAUAACUCAGAUGUAGAUUUUAUGUCUAUCAUGGACUUGGCUCAAUUUGCAUCAGUGUAGGCUUCAAUCUUCUACUUAUCAACUUUUUCGAAAAAUAAGCCUUUUCUUGGAGAGCUCUUCAAGAAUCUCAAAAUUUUAUAAGCAGCUUUAAGAUGUUCUUCAUAUGAAGAAUACAAAAAUUAGCUCACAUGUUGACGACAAAUGCAAUGUCAGGUCGUGUAUGUGACAAAUAGAUCAACUUCCCUACUAAUCUUUGGUAUUGAGCUAUAUCUAUAAGAACCCCUUGUUUUCUAUCUUCGAGUUUGUGAUUAGGAUUCAUAGCGUGUCUAUGGGCCUACAACCACUCAUCCCAAUCUUUUUGAGUAGAUCUAAGAAAUAUUUUCAUUGUGAGACAACAAUCUCUUUCUUGGAUGAGCAACUUCCAUUCCAAGAAAACAUCUUAAGGAUCUCAAGUCAUUGAUCUUAAAUUUUGUAGCUAGACAAUUCUUAGCUGGUUCAUCUCAUUUUGAUUAUCACCCAUGAGCAUGAUAUCAUCCACAUACACUAUCAAGACUGCCACUUUUUGUCUCUGGAGUGUUUGAUGAACAUAGUGUGAUCAGUUUAAGCUUGAUUAUACCAUUGAUUUUUUACCAACUAAGUAAACUUCUCGAAAUAGGCUCUUGGUGAUUAUUUAAGACCAUACAUAGAUUUUUUCAAUCUAUACACCUUUGAACCAAACCCUUUUUCAAACUGCGAGGGAGGAUCCAUAUAGACCUUUUCCUCUAGAUCUUUGUUCAAGAAAGUUCUUGACAUCUAAUUUUUGUAGAGGUCAAUCAAGGUUUGCUUCAAGUGAAAAGAGUACUCUUACAGUAUUUAGCUUUGCCAUUGGUGCAAACGUCUUCAUGUAGUUGAUGUCAUAUGUUUGUGUGAAUCCUUUGGCCAUCAAUCUCACUGUACCUUUUUAAAGUCCCGCCUGAUCUAUAUUUUAUGGUGAAUACCCAUUUGCAUCUAACCGUUGUUUUUCCUUUUGGUAGAUAUUCAAUUUCUCAUGUCUUAUUCUUCUCAAGCACCCUCAUCUCCUCAAGUACCACAUCUUUCCAUACUGGAACUUGUAAAGCAUCUUUUACAUUCUUUGGAAUCUCUACACAUGAAAGUUGAGAAGUGAAAGCAAAAAAUGAUGAUGAAAGAUUUUUGUAGGACACGAAUUUAGACAUUGGAUGAUUGGUAUAUAUAAGACCUACUUCCUUUUUAGAUAGCUAUGGGGACAUAUCUAAAUCGUUAAAGGACUCACUUUGAAAAUUAGUACUAUGCUAUGAGAUUUUAUCAAAAUCUGUUUGAGAGUUAAUUAGAGAAUCUCAAACUUGACUCCGGUUUAACUCCUGGCUAGGUAGAGAAGCUUUUCUCACAUGAUUAAGAUUAGAUUCUGUUUCCAAGUUCAAAUCUUGGUUAGGAUUUGUUUUUUUUAAAAAAAACUAAUCAUAUUUUUCUGAAUUUUUAGAAAAUUAGGUUGGAUUUGAUUUUUCAAAAGGCUGAUCAGAUUUUUUCAAAUUGAAUUCUCGGCUAGAGGUUUUAAGAAUUUUAAAAUUUUCAUGAUUCUUUAUAUGAAAAUUUUGGCUAGUAGUUGGAGAAAUAUCAUUUUUUGGCAAAUCAAUUUGAAAAAAUCGGUUUAUUUUCAAAAAAUGAUACACCCAAGGUAAUAAACAAUUUUUUGGAAAUUGGUUUAUAACAUUUAUAACCUUUCUUAUUUGGUGCAAAUCCCACAAAAUGCACUUCCCAACCCUAGGAUCUAACUUACCACGACCUUUUUCAUGGUUGUGAGUAAACAUAGUGCAACCAAAUAUUUUUAUUGGUAAGGAAGAUAAAAGCUGAGUGUAGGAUAAAGUUUUUGAAAAAAAUGCAAAGGUUUUUGAAACCCAAAAUUUUUUAAGACAUCCUAUAAUAAGAUAAGUAACCGUACGAACUACUUUAUCCUAAAGAUAUUUAGGAAUAUUAUUUGUGAAAGUAAUGCUCAAGCAAUUUCUAAAAAAUGAUUAUUUUUUCUAUUGGUUACUCCGUUUUGUUAAGGGGUAUCGUUACAAGAACUUGAAUGAAUAAUACCCUUUUUUGAGAAAAAAAUGCCCCAAACUUAUUAAAAUAUUCCUUGCUGUUAUCACUUUUGAAAACCUUGACAUUUUUUUUUUCAUAAAAUUGUGUUUGUACCAUGGUGUAAAGAUUUUUUAAAACACUUUCUAGUUCAAAUUUUUCUUUAACCAAAUAAACUUAACUAACCCUGGUGUGAUCAUCAAUGAACAUGACAAACCAUUUUUCUUUUCCAGAGAAAAGAUUGAGCCCCCACAUGUCAUUAUGAGUUAAUGAAAAUGGUGUAGAUUGUCAAUAAGGUCGUGGUAGAUAAGAGGCACAAUGUUGUUUCCCUAAUGCACAUACAUUGAAAUGAAGAUGAAAUUUUAUUCUUAAAUAAAUGUGGAGAUAAGUACUUCAAAUAUUAAAAACUUGGGUGACCUAAUCUGUUAUGCCACAACAUUAUUUCACUAUCACUAGAAAUGGAAAUAGACUCAAAACAAGUGCUUUGCAGUUGUUCACUUGAUUUCAUUCCAUCUUUUAAAAAAUAAAGUCCUUUACUUUUCCUAACACUACCAGUUGUCUUUCUUAAGGCUAGUUCUUGAAAUUCAUAAUGAGAUAGAUAGAAGUUAGCAUGAAAAUUGCGAUCAUGAGUUAUUUUGCUUAUGGACAAUAAAUUAUAGAAGAAAUUAGGAACAUGAAGCACAUUAUCACCAUUUUAACCAUUGAAAGAUUGAUCUAAGAGCUGGAGCUCUAAUAUCAUAAAGGCUUUUGAAAGAUAAUAUGAUUUCUUCGUAAAAAAUAAUAAUUAGAAUACACAACAAGAAGUAAAAUAAGAUUCCUAGCACCACAAGAUCCUAACUAAGUUAUGGGGGAUAAAUAUAUCCAUAUAUAUAUAUAUACUAACAAAUCCAAGUUUGUCAAUUGGAUUUGAUUGAAUAGAAAAGCAUAAAAAUCUGAAUUUUCUUAACUAUCUUUGACACAUGACUUGCUAAUAAUGAAAACAUGAAAGAGAUAAAAUUUUAUGCUAUCAUACACUUAACAUGACUUGAAAUUUAAACCAAACACUAACAUAUACACUUACACAACCCUAGGGAAACUCCUCAACACCCUCUAAGGUCUAGGAAUAAUCAAUCAAAUGUAAGUUGAUUUUAUGCGAAUUGAAAGGAAAAUGAUCAUCUUGUACAAACCUUAUCCUCAUUUUUCUUCAAAGUAAGCUUUAUUUUUAACUAAGCCUUGCCAAUCCUUAAUAAUCUUACAAUGGCUUCAUUAUGCAUGAUUAUAUAUAUGGACUCAAAUCAAUAUUAUACCUAUAAUAAUAUUUCUAUGAAAAUCAUCAUGAAAUUUCUAACAAAUACACUACAAAUACUUAUGUUUAGCUUCCUUACACUAAGUUGCAAAUAAUCACUUAAUAAUCACAAUAUUAACUUAAGAAAGAUACAAUACAAAACUUCAUAUAUGAUUGCAAUGAGAAUUACAACUUACAUGCUCCCCCUUCUUUGUAUCUCCCCCAUGAACAUUAUACAUUUUUUUUUUCUUAUUUUUGUCAAUUUCUCUUUUCCCCUUGUAUUCCAUUUCCCCUCAUAAUUUAUAUGAAUUAACAAAGGGUGAAUUUGUUAAGAACACAAUAGGGUAUACAAAGAUGAGCAAACACAAUAUCCGAUAUCAACAAUGCUAUUUUAUCAAUAUGAAAUAAUUUUAAACCAAAAAACACAUAAAAAUGCAUAAUACAUGUAGGAUUAUCACACCAUUUAUGCAUAUAUUUAGAAAAAAAUAAAUUACUGGGUUAUGUUUAGAAAGCUAAAUAAGCUAUAGAAAUAUAUAAUAUUUUGGAAAUCGGACGAGAUUGGCUGGUCCAACUUAUUGGACUGUCAACCCUUUGGCUCAUUCAAAUCCAUAUAAGUCAUGCUUUAAUUAAUGUUGACCUAUGAAAUGAGCAUAUUGAGCUACCUAAACUUUUUGUAGCUACAAACCUCAUAUCCUCUAUAUUCCUUUUAAUUAAAAGAUAUAGUUGAAAUGAUGAACAAGAUGUCAUAGAAUAUGAUGAAUGCAAUACGAGCUUCAAAGCACCUUGAAACGCUUAGAGGAUGUUUGAUCAUUCCAAUGGACGUUUGAACAUCCUCCUUGUGAUGUUGAGCAUUCAUGUAUAUUUUUUAUAUGUUAAGCCUCAUUUUCCGAUUUUUUUUUUCCUCUCAAAAUUAACUUCUUUAAUAGCCAUUUACAUGCUCUAAUAUAUCCAAUGUAGAUGUAUCCCAAAUUUAAAUGGCUCUAACCUAUAAGACCCUCAAAAUGUAUGAUAUAUCAAAUUUAGUGUAAUAAUGAAACAAAUUUGUUAACCUAACCUAAUACAUAAACAAGUAUAUUGCUUCUUUAAAAUUUGAUGGUUAUAAAAUUAGCAAAACAAUAAAUGUGAACCAUAACUUUUCACAUUGAAAAUUCUUUAAAUGGAGUCCUCAUUAAAAGCAAACACCAAUGAUUCAUUACUUUUGUUUAUUUUCUUACUAUUAUGACCAUAUUUUUUUCUCAUUUUUAAAAGAUAUUUUAAUAAAUUGAGAUGAAACUUCAUCUAAUUAUAAAGAUUGGUUGUUAUUUAGUAAGAAAUGAACUUCUUAAAAAAGAAUGAGUAAUUCAUUUAAAUGAGGUACUAAUUAGACUCAUUCAAUAUUUCAUUAACUCUUUUCCUUAUUAUCAUUAUAUUUUCUCUUAAAUAGUUAAUUUCACAUUUUAAUCUAAUGAAUCCAAUUAUAAUGAGAAGUAUCAUCAAUCUUAAUAGAUUCCAUUAUCAAUUAAAUUGAUUAAAAUAAAUCCUCUUUUAGUUUUUAGAGAUAGAUGGUAUAAUCAUUUAAAAAUUGAUGAUAUUUUCUUAGGUAUCUUAAUUUUUUUAUCCUCUUGAUAGAAAAUAUCUUUAUUAAAUACUCUAGUUUUUCUUUAGUAAAAAGUUUUACAAAUAUUAGUUUUUAAUCCAAGUAAAAUAUUAAAUAGACCAAAAAUAAAUAGUUUUCAAAUAUUGCAUGUACUAUGUAAUUGCCUUUUCAUAAAUAAGUUCUUACCUAUUGAUAAUGAUAAUUUAGCUAAAAUAAAAUAAAUUAAUUGUUCUCUUGAUCUUGAAUAUCUUUUUCAAAUAUAUUAUUUUUUUAAUAUUAAAGAGUCCUAUAAAUGUUAAUUCUCAAUUUAAUUAAAAAUUUUAAAAAAUAUAGAACUUAAGAGUGAUGGUAACUCAACCUACUUAAAUGGAGAUCCUAUGAAAUAGGUUUAUAUGAAUAAUAACAAAUCACUUGUUGACUAAGAGGUGCUCUAUUACCUAUACUUAUAUGAGGGUUCAUCCCUAUGGUAUAUAUUGAGCGUGUUCUACAAUGAUUGAGGUUGAGUAUUUACUUUUAAUGAAUACCAUAUUCCUUAUGGAUGAUAUAUUUAAUUAUACAACACAGUUAACAUAGUUGAUGAAUUCACUUAUAUGAGAGUGGAGGUGAGACCACUUCCUAUAACAACUUAAGCAAAUUCUUUAGAACUCUUAUGAAUAUCCCAAGUAGGAUUCAUGACCUAUUUGUGCUAACUCAUUAUGUACAACUCAAUUGAGAAUUACAUAAUUCAUAGAAAUUUAUUUUCAUAAACCUAUAACUUAAUACUUAUUUAUCUUAAUCUUAGUUCAUAGCCUAUGGACAUCAACAAUGAUGCAUUGGAUUCUAGUUUCCUUCGAUGGUUUCUAUCUUCACUCAUACACUCUAUGGAGGAUUGUUGGAUAAAAAUGUAUUGAAUGGGUGUUUUUAAAGUGUUAAAAGAAAAAGUUCCAAUUCCACAUUGGAAAAAAGAGAUGUACUUUAUGUGGGUAUAUAUUGAAAUUUACUUCCUUAGCCUUAUGGGCUUAUGGAGAGGUGAGGGGAAGCUUUGCGCGCCUAGGGGCCUAAGCCCAUUCUAGUGGGAAUUUGAGUGGCUCGGGAUAGAAACUCUUUGACUGCGAAGCUGAAAAUUAAUUUAAAUUAAUUUAAGUUAUAGGUUGUUCAGCUUUUACAGGAGAGUCUCA